UGGAUCGGAUCAGGUAAAGCCAGCCCUCCAUCCGCAUCCCUUCCUCCGCGCCACCGGCCGCGUCAGGCGGUGGCGGCGUCGCCGUCGCAGUCGGCGCCCCCACCACCGCCGUGUCCUCCACGACCGCUACCUCCGCCCCGCCAGCCAUUCGCCCCCACCGCGCUGGCUCCCCCGCCGAAUUCGAUCCCCCGGCCGGCCCCCCCCCCCUCCUCUCGCCAAGGACGAGACGAGCCCGCAGCAGCGCGCGCGCCUCCGCUCCGCCUCCGCUUCGCCACGCCUCGCUUGGGAUUGGCUUGGCUUGCGGCCGCGGGGCACCUUCUCCCUGCGCUGCGCUUUUGUUUCGUUGUCCGCAGUCGAAUUGAAUUGAGCGCAGGCACGCAGGCAGGGUGGGGUGGCCAGGGCCAGAGGCCCGCCCAGAGCGAGUAGUCCGUCUACCCGCGUGCGGGUCCCGCCGGCGGUGGGCCCCUGCCGUGCUUUUCUUUUCUUUGUUCCCCUGUGAUGGAUGAGCUGUUACUUCCGCUGGCUGGCUUGGCUGGUGGUUGGGAUUUAUUUUGCACAAUCAGAGGAGAGGAAAGUCGAUGAUGCAAAACGAUGAAAUGAUGAGAGAGAGAGAUGGGGGGAGACCGUGAUGAAUUCGGGGGUCGUGUUCUGCCGUGCGUGCCUCGGAAUUUUCGGUGGAAAACGAGGGCUCUGGUGACUGUGACGGGUAUCUGCGGGAAAGAGUCGAGUCGUUUGAUUUGGUGAAGGCGUUAUAUGGGGCUGGCCUGGCAAAUUGGCAUGCGAACAAUUCCCCAACCAUUUUGGGUUUUGAGGGGAAGGGUUUAUUUGAGGAGGUAAAUGAACCCUUUGCUUCUUCAUCUUCUUAGAUUUUUCUUGAGAAAUGCUAAAUGACACAAGUGUCCUUCUCAUUUUGCUCCAUUUUCGGGCCUUGUUUAGUUUGCAAAUUUUUUUAGAUUCUCCGUCACGUCGAAUCUUUAGACGCAUGCAUAGAGUAUUAAAUAUAUACGAAAAUAAAAACUAAUUGCACAGUUUGGUCGGAAUUGACGAGACGAAUCUUUUGAGCCUAGUUAGUCCAUGAUUAGAUAAUAUUUAUCAAAUACAAACGAAAGUGCUACAGUGUCGAUUUCCAAAAAAAAUUUGGAACUAAACAAGGCCUUGGCUGUUUUAUCUCUUCUUCUCCAACUCUGGUAGACUUAGAAAGGUUUCAUAGGAGGUUAGGUGGCUAGGCGGUGGAGACAACAAGAAGACGUCAGUUAGGGUUUCGAUGACCUAGAAUCCAACCACGCCAACUCAGGGAGGGAGCACCCAUGGCCAUGACGGCUGCAGGGAGAGAGGAGGCCACCGUGAGUGCUUGGUAAGGUUUUGCUGGAGCUCCACAGCUAUUGCCUACAGCGGUGGAGCUCCGGCGCGCGCUGGGCUUGAGGAAGAAGAAGCUGUGAGAAACACCGAAUGUAUUUGGCCUCCAAAACACUAGUGUGUCCGGUAGACAAAGUCUUUUUUUUUUCUUUAUAUUCUGAAUAGUCUUCAUAUUCUUUUUCCAAAUAAUGGAAAUUCAUCUAUUUUGUCCGAUAACGACUUAGAUGGCGGGUACCAAGUCGACGUGACACUGAUGACAAAGGUGAAGCUAGGGCACAUAAAUUUUAUAGAUAUGUCUAGUAGGUAGAUACGCCUAUUUUUUUCACAUGUCUGGUAGGAGUAGUGAGGGAAAAAAAGAAUUCCUAUAUAUCCUACCGACACCUUGAUAAUGUUCCAAAGUAGUGACAUGUAAAAUUGGCAAACCACCAAAUGGCACACCUCCAUCUACCUAUCUAUCUACACACGUUUUACCCCUUUGCUUCCUUCCUUCAUCGUGAGAUCGAAUUGAAACGGAAUCGUACACUAUUUUUCCAUCUUUGUCCCGGACAAGAAAAGAUAGCCAUGCACGCUUAAUUUAUGAUGGCUGUGUUGCCCCGUCUUUGCACCGCCGCACCACUGCUAAACCGCCAACCAACGGUGCAAUCGCGAUACGAUAGAAGUAUAGAACUCGAUCAAUUCCUGAAGAGGAAAUAUCUUACAAAGAUAUGGGGCAUGUUUGGUUCCCCUUACUAAACUUUAGCUAGCUAAAAUUAUUUUAGCUACUCUUGGGUGACUAAUAGGACUAAACUAUUUUAGCUCCUUUUAGUCAAUAUGUUUGGUACUUUAGCUACUAGAGUGACUAAAGUUUAGCUAGCUAAAAUUUAGCAAGGGGAACCAAACAGGGCCAUGAUCUCGUGGAAUCCGCCCAAACGAAUUCCUGCACGACGUACAGGCAGGCAUGCGAGCAAAAGCGGAGAGACGUGUUCGGCAGCCUCAAAUGAAUCAUCAGCGUGCGCGCGUCCGAGUUCGAGCCCGACCGGCACACCGACGACGUGCAUGCAUGCAUUGCUAUUGCCUGCCGAUAAUCUUUCAUUAAAAGUUUAUUUGAUCCAUUAGCACAAUAGCACUAGUUAAUCUUUACCCAGAUGGCUGUUUAUUAGAUUUACCCUUGUUACUUGCUAAUAUAUAUAUGGUUGGAUGGUGAGUUGAAGGUCUAUAUAAACUAUUUAGAACUUAGUGUAUUAGCAACUUCAAAUAGGAUAAUGAAACUAAUACUUAACAAAUAACAAGUAUGUUCGUAUCCACUAGUAUUAUUUUAAGCUAGUAAUUUUUAGUACUAAUAUAUCCAAACAGACCUUAAUUCUUAAUUUCUCUCUCCGUGUAGACUCUCCACUUCUCAAGAGUCGCUUUCUCUCUCUGUCCUAGCUAACCCUCCGGGGCAGACCAUUAGGCACGUUGCCGAGAUCAUCAUAUCACUACAUCUUUCGCGUCCGUCGUCAUCAAUCAAACCAUCUGGAGACUGGACUGCAGGCCGCUAGCUGUUAAUUAAGAUUAGAGAGUACUAUUAUAUUAAUAUUUGUACAAUGAGAUCAAACUAGUAGUCCAGAUUGUUCGUCCGUGAGACAGCAGUCCUCUCGGAGAAAAGGUAAUUAAAGCUGGAGCCGUGGAGCUCGCGCACCAUGUUAACCAUGUUAAUUAAUUAAUCUACUCGCGCGGACUUGAUUAAGGCUGGAGCCCGUGCGAGUCAUGAGAUGGCUUGACCCGGCACAUGGGCGACGCAGAUUAGGAAUUGACAAACAAACAAACAAACAAACGUGCCGAGAGAAUAUAAUGGAGCUUUUGCGUCGUCCCUAACAAGCCCCUGAUCCUGAUGAGUACUACUACUCAGCUUUUGGUUUUGGUGUUUACGAUGGCAGGAUGCAAAGGUGCCUCGCACGUGGAAGAUGAAGCUCAUGUAGAGUCACCUUCAAUGUACCCUUUUCUCGUACGUGACAUAUGAAAAGUGUAUAAUAUUCCAGCCUAUGGUUUAAUAGAAUUAAUAGAAUACUUAUAUUAAUAAGUUAUAAUUUUUUUUAGAAAUUCAUCUUCAAAGAACUCUAAAAUUAAACGUAUUUGGCUUAGAGAAAUUUAGAGAUGAGUUAAGCGUGCUUGGUCUAGAAAAACUUAGUGAUAUGUGACCGACCAAAAAAUUCUUCCUGGAUGCGCACAAAUGAUGAUAAAGUGUUUCAAAAUGUGCACAAGUGAGGAUAAAAUACGUAGAAAAUACUAGUGUUGGUCUGUGAGAAUAGUCUAUGUCCUAGAAAAACUGACUGAUAUAAACGGGCUCGACCUUGUAGAGGCGGGACGUUAUGAAGCGCCACGCAAUUCAGGUGGCGUGUGCUCACAUAAUUGACACCUGAAUGGAUGUACUCCAUCUCUAUAAAAUUUCCUCCAUUUUUCGUCUCACGACUUCUUUCUGAUUUGGCUGCAUUUUCUUCCCCUGCGCUUAUAGCUUAGCUUCAAGGGCGCGCCUAUUGACUUCAAGGGCGGCUCUACGGACUUGGUUACCUGGUGACCCAGUUAACCCCGUCAGAGGUUUAAAAAAGUUGGCGCUCUCAAGUUUCUCAUCUUUUAGCGACAACAACCAUGUAUUUUGUUUUUAUUAUUACGGGCUACGGCAAGGCCCCCUUCUCCGUGACCAAUGAAUUUUGUUUUUACGGCUCAUGCAAACAAGCCCUUGCCACACUGUGACCGUGCGCACUGUUGCUCUGAUCCGGUGUACUCUAAGGCCCUGUUUAGUUUCCCACCUAAAUUUUUUUCAUCCAUCUCAUCGAAUCUUUGGACACAUGUAUGAAACAUUAAAUGUACAUAAAAAAUAAACUAAUUACACGGUUUGGUUGCAAAUCGUGAGACGAAUCUUUUAAACCUAGUUACUCCAUGAUUAGCCUUAAGUGCUAUAGUAACUCAAAUAUGCUAAUGAUAGAUUAAUUAUGCUUAAUAGAUUUGUUUUGCAGUUUCCUGACGAACUAUGUAAUUUGUUUUUUUAUUAGUCUCUAAAAAACCCUCUCGACAUCCUUCCGACAUAUUCGAUGUGACAUCAACAAAAUUUUCAUCUCCAAUCUAAACAGGGCCUAAGAAUGGUACUGUAACUACUGGUUCACACAAAGACCUUGUUUAGUUCCCACCAAAAUCCAAAAAAAUUUCAAGAUUCUUUAUCACAUCAAAUCUUGCGGCACAUACAUUGAGCACUACAUGUAGAUAAAAAAAUAACUAAUUAUACAGUUUACCUGUAAAUUGCGAGACGAAUCUUUUGAGCCUAGAUAGUACAUAAGUGAACAAUAUUUACUAAAUACAAAUGAAAUUACUAUAGUAGCGAAAUAAAAAAAUCGCAACUAAACAAGGCCAAACUUUUGAUGCAUAACACACACUAGUAUAACCGGGACUCAUCAGAGAAGAAAAAAAUGUUUUUGGCGUGCGUAGUGUGUGUGCGCACACGGAAAGAGACGGGCAAGAUGCUCAAAGUUUAUUCCGAAGUUAGGCCCGGUUUAGUUCCUAAAUUUUUUUAAGUUUUCCCAUUACAUCAAAUUUGUGAACGUAUGUAUGGAACAUUUAAUAUAGACAAAAAUAGAAUUAAUUGCACAAUUUUACCUAUAAUUUACGAUACGAAUCUUUUGAGUCUAGUUAGUUCGUGAUUGGACAAAUAUCAAUCCAUUCUAAAUUAUAAGACGUUUGAUUUUUUUACACCAAGUUGGACCAUUCGUUUUAUUCAAAAAGUUUGUGCAAAAUUUCAAUUUUUUUGUCGUGUCUUGGUUUAUUAAUAAAAUUGUACAAGAAUAACUUAAAUUUGACUAUGUUUGUACAAAUUUUUUGAAUAAGACGGAUAGUCAAACUUAAAAUAAAAAAAUCAAAUAUCUUAUAAUUUGAAUGAAGGGAGUAUAAACUAAAAUGCUAUACUAAUAAAAGCUAAAAAUUUUCGCGAACUAAACGAAGUCUUAACCGCAGUCACCACCCACCACUCACCAGACAACAGGUGACUUGUCUACGUCUCAUCGAGAAAGCGACAUAGCUGGUCCGACUCCGAUUCUGAUCUUAGACUGGUAGAUACUCCUCGUUAAAAAAUAAACUAGUGUUACUUAUUACUUCCUCUAUCUCAAAAAAGAUUGAUGUUUUUGACUUCGACACAUUAUGUUUGACUGCUCAUUUUAUUUAAAAUUUUUAUGCAAAUUAUAAAAUAAAUAAAUCAUUAUUAAAGUAUCUCUAAUGAUCAAAUAAGUCAUAUUAAAAUAUACGAUUUUUAUGUAAAAAAAUUAAUAAGACGAAUGAUCAAAUAAGAUGUCUGAAAGUCAACAACAACAACAACAAUCUUUUUGAAACAGACGGAGUAGUAGUUUAGUACAAGUAGCCAAACUUUUUAAGUUAACCAAUGAAAAUACUUCUAAAAAGUAUUAAUAUGUAUAAUACAUAAUAAGCAUUAUUUUGAUCAUGAAAUAAAUUUUUAAAUAAAUUUAUUUGGAUAUAUAAAUAUUUGUACUAUUUUCUAUACACGCAGUCAUGCUUAAAAAAUUUCCUAAAAAGUGAAAUAUGCAUUUACUUCAGGAUUAAGAGAAUACAGAUUAUAUACGUGUAGCUUGAUAAAUUUUCUUUUUUCCCUGAACCCACGGUACAUCCGUAGACACAUGUACACAAUGAAAAAGCGUGCAAAUUCAUGAUUAAUUUUACUAGCUUGUAAAUCUAUAUCACAUUAGUUAAACCGGAUAACAUCAACAUAAACAACAGCAUGAUGUAAACAAUAUACAGCGAAUUGAAAUAACAGAUUGGAUCACGACAUACAUACUUCUGAUUUGUAGAUGAAGACAUCGUGGCUAGUGGUGGAGGAGCGGUGAUGUUGUUGAGGACAUUGGCGAAGACGGACGAAUGAAGUAGCCAAUAGCGGGGAUGAUUCUUGUCAACUUUUUGCAGCAGUAACAGGGUGAAAUUUGUAGAUGUGUGGCUUCGCAUGGCUAGCACUCAAAGGACUCAAGUGUUUGGGAUUGGGACCAUGUAAUCUGGCCGCGUGGUGCCCUAGGAAAGCUGCUAGUAAAAUCGUCCAUGCAGUACAAAUCUUGUGGUGGUGAGUCUGGUGUGGUUGUAGGAAUUGAGGAGACUGUAAUCCGAUAGGUGGAAUUACCUGCUUCUAUGCACCACCACCGCGAAAAAAUCCGUCCCAAACAGGCCCACAUAUUAGUUUAGACAAUAUGCGUUUAGGGGUUGUUUGGCACAGCUCAACUUCACUAGUAAAGCUGUUUUUUAAAAAAUAGCUUGAUGAGUGACUUUCUAGAUGAAGCUGAGCUGUUUUGGAAAAAGGGUUUGGCAAAAUAGCUUCACCAACUACUUCAUACAUAGUUGAGAGAGAGAAAUGAGGGAGAAGCUGCAAUAAGCUACUUUUUUCCAGCUUCAUCCAACUUAUGUCUUUGUGAGAGGAGGAGGAAAACAGCUUCACCCAUGAAGCUGUUUUGGAAAUAAGUGUUUGGCAAAAAAAACAGCUCACAACAGCUCAUGAAGCUGUUGUGAGCUGUACCAAACAGGCCCUUAGUUUGUGGUGUCUGCUCGUGCUCUUUGAGCAUGAGUUCUUGAAGUUUGCAGUAAGGAUUACAAACGAGUGAGGGUUGGAAAGAGCUAUGGUAUCGCAGUUCUCAUGUAUCUUGACGAGCUCGAGCCUUCCGUAUAUAGCUUCUCGAGGGGAACGAUUACUGUGUCAUGAUUCAACGGGCGUUCUAACUAAAAUUUUAUUUUAAUACACCCAUCGUACUUUGAAACUCUCAUCAAACUUUCUUCAACUCUUGGUACAAGCUUUUGGAUUUCCACAUCGUCUGUUUGGAAUUCAAACUCAUUCAACAAGAGAUUCGGAUCGUAGCCUUAGCUCCAAUCUUCCCUAGCUAUGAAUGACCUUAUCAUGCCCUUUCAGGCUCUUAUUAUGCUUUCUACUAGAUAGAGAAUCCAAAUUCGCUUAUCAACUCUCUUGAUUCUCUCUGAUCAAGCUAAGUCAACUACGGUCAACCCUAGUCCACUCUUUAGUUGAAUCGAUUCGAGAACAUCUGUGUUCCCAUGUUAUAAAAAUCACCUAAAGUUCUAGUUUUUUUUUUCUAUUUCCUUCUGGGAACAUGACUGCUAAGGUCCAUUCCCUAGGAGCAUCUACAUCUGCUAUGGCUCCCAUGUUUAGCCUCAUCGACCUUUCGAAACCACAGAGGUUGAUAAAAGCACAUGUCUUUCCUUUCUUUCCCUAUCCAUGCAUCCACAUGGAUUUUAGAAAAAACAUCUAGCGACCUCAAAAAUUCCAUCCCUCUCAUUGUCUAGCAACAUCUUGAUUCAUCUCCAUUGUCGAUAUGCUCGUAGCCUCCACAUCUGCAUCGUUGUCAAGCUAAAACUACAUCUCGAUUCUUCGUCUCUGUCGAUGAUGUGCUCAGAGCCUCCACAUCUACAUGCACAACUGCUUGUUCCAUGUCCCUCCGUGUAUGCCGCCUUCAUUACCUCUCUCCUUGAAGUCACUCCCCUUAUGCCGGUUAUGCGGAUUGCCAUUGCUUCUUUUCUUGUGGAUGCCAAGAGGCAAAGUUGCUUCACCAAGAUGAAGCAAUGGAGGCGAGAGUAGAAAUGGAGCGGCCAAGAUCCCCCUCUCCCAAUGUGAGCGUAACAUUUCCUUUUUCAAACAUUCAAGCUUUGAAUAAAUAUAAUCUAAUGGGUAAUUAUUCACACAAAAUGGAGUAGAGAUGUACAUAGUACAUUUCUGGUGUGGAUUUGGUUAAUGUUUGUGCAGUGAGCAGUAUUCAUAAAUAUCUGCUUCAACUUUUCUGAAUUCUCUCAUUUUGUUUCUUCCAUGCAAACUCUAAGUACAGAUCAUGAACUUUUAUCCCCCUCCAUUGACGUUUUCAAAGAUCCAAAGAAAUUAUUCACGUGGGUUAAAGAGAUGCUAUGCACAUGUAAAUUUUUCUGUCUGGUUCCAUGCUGGUUUCAGGCUCUGUUUGGUUCUCCUUGCUACAUUUUAGCUAGCUAAAUUUUAGUCACUUAGCUAAAGUUCCAAACACAUUGACUAAAAGAAGCUAAAAUAGUUUAGUUCCAUUAGUCAUCCAAAAAUAGCUAAAAUAAUUUUAGCUAGCUAAAAUUUAGCAAGAGAAACCAAACAAAUCCUUAUUUUCUUAGCAUCCAAACUAUAGCCGUUGAUUCUUGGGGAAAAAAAACUAGCCCUUGAGGGGGACCAGUCGGCCAGACCCUGCGCGCCCUCGCGCAACAUGAUAAACGAGCAACUGCCUUCCGUAGUUCCGUGAGAUUUCCGCGGGAAAUACAAAAUAUCACCCGGUAUCUAUAGUCUAAACCGUACAGUAUGUGUCUACAUAUGCAUAGGCCUUCCAAAAUAUUUUGCAAAAUUGACACUGUAGCUCUUUCGUUUGUAUUUGACAAAUAUUGUCCAAUCAUGGACUGACUAGGCUCAAAGGAUUCGUCUCGUCAAUUUCGACCAAACUGUGCAAUUAGUUUUUAUUUUUGUCUAUAUUUAAUACUUCAUGCAUGUGUCUAAAGAUUCGAUGUGACGGGAAUCUGAAAAAUUUUGCAAAAUUUUUUGGAAACUAAACAAGGCCAUAUAUGUGCAGACUGCAUCUUUAUCUAUGUGCACAGCCCCGCCACAUGUGAUUGGACCGGAGCUGGCUUUGUGGCUGGCACGAGCUCUUGCGGCGCCUUGUCCCCUCCCACGCUAAUUGAAUAUACGACGAGUCUUAGUGAUUGUUUAGAUUUUUCUUCCUGACUUAAGGUUGACGAAGAUAGUGCAGACAUCUUGCGUCAAACAACUUAUUAUAAAAUAAAUUAAGAAAAAUAUGGGUAUAUCACAUCGAGAACUUCUUCGGCUGAUUUAGUUCUAGCACAAGAAACCUAACUAACCGACUAAAGUUUGCUAGUGAUUAUUUAGAUGAGUGAACUAAAUGAACUCUUUGAAGUCUAGGUAAAUAAAAAAGAGUAUAUCAACAUCUGCGAUUCGUAAUAUGCACUGUAAGAUUAAUAAUAAAAUAUUUUUCAUGAUAAACAAUAUUAAGAUAUAUAAAUAUUAAUAAUAUUUUUAUAAAUAUAGUUAAAUAAAAAGUUUGACUUCUUAGAAAACGAGAUCUAAUGUUUUUUCUUGAAUAGGCAAGAGUGUUGCAUAUCGUUGUAUUAAGAAGGUAGAAGUUUAAUAAAAUACAAUAGUGAUCAUUAUCGGCGCGACCAAAACCACGAAGGGGCUAUAUUCUAAAUAUGACAACCCUAGGAUCCACUAGGGUCAACCUAAUCUACGCGCGCGGCCUAUGGCCCCAUGGCCAAAGGUCAGCGAGCUCAGUCAUCAGACAUCCCCCAGCAUGCUAGGAACAACUUGUCGAGGGCUUCAACAUCUGUAGCCGACAGGUCGCCCUUGAAGUAGGAGUCGUACGAACGCUUGGCACCAAAGGAAGACGGCGCUGUUCUAGAAACCCCAACUUCUUCGUGAGUAGCACUUCACCGCUCUUGGACGUUGGGAUGUGGUCCAUCUGCUGAGUAGCAAUCCGCGUGCUCCUAAGGGGCAAGGUUCGCUUGGACAACAGCUUAGGAGGGGAGCUGAUGAGGGGUGGCUGCCUCACCACCAUGACCUCCACGUUGAACCUAGCCAGCCGCGCCGCGACCUCUCUAGGAGAAGGCGAGUCAUCCGCCGACGGUGCCACAGCGCCCGUCAUCAUAGGUGUGCCAUGUAAAGGCGACGCCGAGGGCGACUCCGCCGUGCCUAGAGGUGCCGACGACGUAGGAUCCCACAACAACGCUUGACCCAUCGGAUAUAGGCAGUCAUGAGCUCGUGCGGCCACUAGUCGAGUCACAUCGACCAGGGCGUCAAGCUCGUCUACCAUUGGGUCACUUGAGACGAGCUGAGUAGAGGAGUAUGCACACUCGCACAACAUUGCCUCCACCAAAGGGUUAGGCUCUAGGAAGUAGCGUGCGAUAGUUGAAGCAGUGGUGUCUUCGAUGAAGUCCGCAGGUGCGUCCAUGGUGGUGUCCAUCACCAGCUUGCUGUUGACGGUCCUUAAGUACCAAAUAUAAUCAUUAAAUAAGGAAAGAAAAGGAUUCAAAUGCAACCAACACCCAGACUUAGAGUUUUAUCUGACAGAAUUCCACGAGUUUUGGUGUUUGUCUAUUUCUGCAGGGGGUUAUCAAGAAAUAUGAAGGAAAGGCCCACAUGUCGGGUUUACAUAGAGAUAUUAACGUGUCGCGCAAUUUUCUAUCAUCUAGAAGACUCCAGAAGCCACGAGAACGAACGAGAAGCCGAGCGGGCCCGGGGACAGGGCGCCCGCCCUCCCCCCUUGGGCACCCACCCUGUCAUCUGGACCAAUCAGGCUCCGCCUCGCGGAGUAUGCUCCACCGACCUAAAGGAUCAAGGAAAACCGUGCGAUUAAGGUCGGUUUGAUCCGACGGCCCACAUUCGUUUGGAGGGGCUAUAUAAGCAGGCCCCCUGGCCCCUGGAGGAGGCACCCCCUUCAUCCUUAUUCAUUAUUCAUAGACAGAGCAAAAGCUAGGGUUUGGAGAUGAGAGCUCUCCUCUCAUCCCUAAACUAGAAUAGAUCUAGAUAGUAGCGAGAUGGAUAGCGAGGGAGGAUUGGAGGAGAGGCCGGCCUGUCGGUUCUUCCUCCGGUUGUACUUCGCCAUGAUCAAGCUCUAAUCAAACUUGCUCAUGGGAUGACUCUGGUAAUCUACUUUUAUUUCAUUAUGUAAUUACUAUCCAUGUAUGUUCUGGUUCACAACUCUUUUGAGUACUUGAAUCUAUAGGACGCUAUAGGUGAGAGUUGUAGUAUAGGUGUAAGCGUGGUGCUUAGACCUAGAUUACUUGUGGAUAUCCCCUGUCUAGCCGGAUCGUGUGGUAGGCCACGUAUGUGACAGCUAUGUUGGUCCUCUGUAGUCCACCUCCCGUUAGCAGGACUGGUAGGGUUUAUCGGCCUAUGGAUAAGCAUCCUUUGUGGUGUAUUCUUAUCACGUGGUUCGUCCCAGACAUAGACAUACCCCUUUGAAGUAGAGAAACCAUAGUUAUCCUCUCUGUUCUCCUACCAUCGCCCAUAUACUAGAUUGCUCUACUCUUUAUUCCCAUAUUAUCACCCAUUGUUAUCUUACCUUUAAUAUUGUUCCUAUUCAUUUCUACCAUCUUUCCUAUUUACACCUACCUAUCUAUCUAGGUUGAGUUAGAGCGUAGAUCAGUUCUCCUGUUUCCCUGCGGAUACGAUAAAACCUUUAACCGGGUAAAAGCUACAACGGUAUCCGUGCGCUUGCGGAUUUAUCUGUGUGCGUAUAAAUACCAUAGUACACUCUAGUGCCAUGCUGGGGAUGACAACCUAGUAUUUAGGUGGUGUUAGCAAGUGUCAACACUUACCACCAUGGCGUCGACGUCGUCUUCAGAAAGGACGGGUGCCCUUGGCGCCCUCCACGACCCCCAUCACAGACCUUUCUGUAGUUGAUGGACUGUUGAGAGGUGCAUGUGGGGAGGGCGGUGGGUUGUCGAUGCGUGAGUAGUGAGGACAGCCCACGCCGGUCGAUGCUGCCUUUGAUCGACAGCAGUCCAUAGCGAUGUGGCCGAUGCCACGACAGCGCAAACAACGCCAAGGCAUCUGGCAAGUCGCCACAUGGUGCGAGAAGGACAGGCAGUUGAAGCAUCUGUUGUGUUGCUGUGCGGGAAUCUUGUGAGCUCGUGCUCGCGAGCGAGGGCUGUGUUGAGGCUCAACAGAGGCGGACACCAGUUCGUCCUCCUGUUGGGGUAGAAUCUCACGCCACCCAUUGGCGUUGGGGCAGAGACCUGUCUUCGCAUGCCGAGGCGUUGGCAGGCAGGUACUCGACUAUCCACUGUCCGGAUUGGCAGACCGUGCACAUGCUGAGGGUGUGGUCGGCUACGCCUCCUUCGCCUCCGCAUAGGCCUCUACCCAGCGUCUGGUCCGCCGCACCGCCGACCAGCAGUCGAACGAAACUGAGCACGCAUAGGGGGCGCGGGGGCCGGCCUUGCCGGAUGACGAGCGGUCUCUAGGUAUGUCGUGGGAUGGUCGUCGUCAGUCUCCGCACCAUCCUCUUCCGCCCACCGCCGCCUCUUCAACUGCCCACCCAAACAUUUGAGGAAGAACGGUGCCGCGACCAGUAAAAGCGUUGGGGUGUCCAGCGAUGUCGUGCCAAGGCCGGCGCUCCAAGCAUCUAGCCCCAACAGUGGAGGGGAUCAAGCGCUAGGGGUGGCCACCUCAGACACCGGUGUUGUGGCCACGACCGUGCAGCGCCCUCAUCCCCCAGCAGCGUUGUCGUGGGCACCACGGGAGGGGGCGACGAUGAAGCUGGAGAUGCUGACAGGCCAUUAGAUUCGGCGCCGCUGGUGUCGCAGGCGGUCGUGGAUCCACCCACCCAUGGCCCGUCUGUGCGGAGUCCAGCGUUUGCACCCUAGGGCCACCACCCCCGAGCAGGGUCACAAUGGCGACGUCGACCUUAGGCUGUGGCGGAGGAGAAGCGGGGUGGAGGGAGGGGUGGCGACGAAGCUCGCCGAUGCCAUCAACGACGGAGAGGCCGGUGCCGGCGCCAGACAGGGCUCAUCGAGCACCGGGAGCGAAGGGUAGGUGGAGGAGGGGGAGGUGGAGGGGAAGGGAGAGGGAGAGGCGGAGGAGGUGGGGGGCUAUGGGCGCCGCGUAGGUGCCAGGGCGGCGGCGUCGUCAGGGCGGACAGAGUCGGAGCAGGACCUUGUCUGAACAGAUCAAAAUGAGAUCUAACGUUAUUUUAUGAUAGAAGGAAUAUUACUAUAAGUAUUUACUUAUGCUACUUAAACGGAUGGACUGAAAGGUGUAGUGAUUUUUAGUUUAGUUCAACUAAUUGUUAGUCUCUUAUAACAGUUCUUAUAUCUAAAUAACACAAGCCUAAAUUUUAGGAGUACUCACUAAACUUUAGUUAUACUAACAACUAAUUUCAAUGAUCUAAACAGGCCUCUCGUACAUAACACGCGCCUCCUGUUGUGCCGUGACCCUAAUCGAUGGCUUGAGCACGUGACAUACAUGUGAAUGAGUUUUGUGGGAAGUCGGAAACCCUCCCGCCGCUGCUGGUGCUCUGCUGCGUGUGGUGUGGUGUGGGGGCUGUGCUGUGCACCAACCGAACCGAGGCGCGCCGAGGCCUUCCCUUGCUUCAGCGCUCUCGUCUCGACGCGGCAGGCCAGGCGGCGGCUAGCGGAGACGACAACGCUCCGCAUUGGAAUUGUAGACUUGACUGGCGCGGUCAGCUCGACGACGUACGUCAGCUGUGCGUACGCUCCGCGUGCCCACAGGCCGCUGAGCUCACACGGCAUGCAAAGAAAAGACGUUAUUCCAUCGCACCCACCGGACCGGACCGACCUUGUGCACACAAAGGACCGGACACGGGAACGGGACACCUGCCGAUGCCGGCCGGCCGGCAGCACGACACGGCAUCCAUCGACGGUCCUGGUGAUUGGUGAAAUUCAAUUUGAUUCCUUCACAUAGAUUAUCACCGGAGCAAUUAUUGGCAUGCAGAGGAUCCGCCGGUUGGCAGUGCAAUUGGCACUUUACGUACCGGUGGCCGUCGAAACAAACGGUCAUCCCUUCCCGCUAGCUAGGAAUAAUCGUGCCCGACCCGCACUAGGCCUUGUUUAGUUGUUAGAGUAAAAAGGUUUUGAGAGUCUUGUAGCACUUUCGUUUAUAUUUGAUAAUUAUUGUUUAAUCAUAAACUAACUAGAUUUAAAAGAUUUGUUUCACAAAUUACAAAGAAACUAUAUAAUUAAUUAUUUUUUAUCUAUAUUUAAUGAUACGUGUGCCGUAAAAUUUAAUGUAACAGAAAAUUUUAAUUUUUUUGGUUUUUAAGUGAACGGAGACGGUGAAAGCGGAUAUGAAUAUGAUGCUGGAUCCCCGGCCGGCAGCUCGGCCCCUGAGAUGUGUUCCACCACUAGCCACUAGGUACCACAGGGCUGGAAUUGAUGCUCUUCAUCCAUGUCGAUAGCUUUAAGCCAUUGUGUGGGGAUGAGGAGGCUAAUCUAUCAACUUAAGUACCUGCUGUCUAAAUCAGUAUAUGUUACUUUUUAGAGGCAACCUGUACAAUUAAUUAAACCUAUAAUAAGUAGGUAGGUAUAGGUUGAUGAGUUAGACCACUUACAUCUCUUCACGCAAGGAAGCUUCAGUAACACUCUGGUCGAUUCUUUUUUAUUUUUCCCCUUGUUUUGGAGCUGCUCCUGCUGUAUGUGUAUGCUUUGCUUAUCUUGUCCUCUUGCUCUUGGUGGGGAAACGAAACUGAAUUUGGUCCGCAGGUCUGGGCCCUGUCCCCAUAAAAUUUCAAUGCGAAAGAACAGCCCGGGCCUGCUGCAAUGAUGCUGGGCCGGGCCUACAUUUGUUCAUCUGCUUAGCUCAUGCUUUUAACUUGGCGUUUGGUGAGUUAUGCUCGAAUCCAAUUUUCACUACUGUUACCGGUCAAUGCGAUCCACACUAAACAAUAGGAAGAAGACUUUAUCACUUUCAGUUUCACAUUUCUCUAUCAAUCAAAAACAAAAGCGAUCGAUACGAUAUCAUCGAAAAUAAGAAUGGUGUCGAUAUUUAGUAAUGUCGAGGGCGACACCAUACGAUCGAAAGUAGUACAUCAAUAAUGAUCAGAAUCAACAAAACGAUACUUCAAGAACGAUAAACACGACAAUUAAUAUAAUAUGAUACUACCCAUGCAAGUAUAUAACCUACUGUAUAUCAUACAAAUGAACUGACGAUUAAGACAUAGACAUUACUUUAACAUGUCCAUGACACAGCCGCAUACAUUCACGUUCACGUUACUUUAACGAAGAUCAGUCACUUGUUGGGAUAUAGCUAUGUUGGGUUAGGGUAUUUAAGUGAGACCCACAUUUUAGAUGAAAAAAAUUAGAUAAACACCUUUCUUGACUACAGAGCCUAUGCGGCUCCGUUGGCAUAGCUCCACGCUAGAGUCAUUUUGGAAAAUUGUUUGGCAAAAUAGCUUCACAUAUAGACAUAGUUUCUUAAAAUAUGCUCUCAUAGAAUGCCACGUAGGAUGGGGUGAAGCCAAACAAAAAUACUUUUUUUUUCCGCUUCAUGUCACCUUAAACCUUUGUGAGAGCACGAUUUAAGGGUCUUUCUAGGUAAAGCCGUUUUGUUUUACCCUGACUCUAAUGACUCUUGAAGUUAGUGGCUCGACUAGAGUGUGGGCAUGUGGCACUUACAACUUGGGCCUGCUAAGAUGAGAGCUUACAAGGUGUAUGGUGUAACAGAGAAGUCGGAGCUGAGAGUAAUGUUGAUGGCCUGCUAGGCCUAGGCUCCCGAAGUUAGAGAGUCUCUUUUUUAUCUCUAUAUAAAUAAAAUAGUAUUUUACCGUUUUAAUACAAUAACACACUUAUACAGUAGGUAACGGUAAAUACUGCUACAAUUAUUGUUUUUAUAUUUUCUAUCUUUAGAAGUACGGUAUUUACAAUUACCGCUACCAUUUUUGGAUAUCUUUCAGUUUCACUUUCAUCCCUAAUUCACAUCACCAAUCCGACUAUGGUACCCAAUAGUACCAUCAGUAUUAGGACAACGAAGAAAACAGUAACCUUGCAACUUCCUUUAAAAUUGGCGCAAACCUUACAGGACGCGUCUUGUACUACCACCAAUCCAAUCUGCUAUUUCAAGCUCGAGAAACAACACAUUCUGUCACCUAGUAGGCUCUAGCAACCCAUCACCACCCGAGAGGAGAAAUCGCAAAAUGAUAAUUGGAAUUUCACUUGCCUCCGUUACAUCUUUCACAAGCACAUUCCCGUUUUGCCGUGUUGUUCGUCGCCUACCACCACUCUAGAAAAGGUAAGUACGUACUUGGUACAAGCUACAUCAGGCUCACCGGCCGGUGAAUGCGCUCUUCGCCGUCCUCGGCAUGUAGUCGAAGGUCUCCUCGCUCUUGUUCUCUGUCCGUGGCGAGCUCUUGGCGCCGAGGAGUGGAGACGAGUCCUUCUCGCUCAUCUGCAAUAAUGUAUGGACAUCCAAGUCGUUAUAUAUCGCCUCUGGCCUCCGGAGUUUCCACAGUUUCAGACGAAUGAAGCGAGUGAUAUGAUGCAUGUGCUUUAUAAGUCAUUUUAAUAAUUUUGAAAAGUUAAAUCACCUUAAGUUUGAUUAAAUUUAUAUGAUAACAUAAUAAUAUUUAUGAUAUCAACUAAGUAUCGUUACAUUUUUUUAUUAAUUAUAUUUUUAUAGUAAUAUCUAUAUAAUGUUAUAAAUCUUUUUAUUUUGUUUAUUGUUAGUCAAAUUUAAAAUGCUUUGAAUCUCCAAAAUUUUUGAAAUGACCUAUAAAUUCGUAUAUAUGGAGGGAGUAGUUAGUUACCUGCGCGGCGACCGGCAGCGAGGUGGCGGCCUCGGUCUUCUUCCUGCUUUCGACGACGGAGUAGUAGGAGUAGAGGCCCAUGCCGAAGAUGGCGAUGAGGAUGCCCACCACGUUGCGGGCGCUGAAGGGGUCCUUGAGGAUGAUGUAGCCGAAGGAGAGCACCAGGCACGUCUUGAGGUGGCCCAGAACCUGGUACGUCACGGGCGAUGUCGUGCCGAUCACCAGGAACGUGCUGAAGUUGACGCACACCGCGAUCGAGCACGACAGCAGGAUGAACGCCUGCACACCGCGCGCCACGGAGCAUUAUUCGAGCACGGUUACACUGAUAAUGCUGCAAUCGGUCGGUCGGGUGAACCGACAUCUAUUGUGCCAAGGGUGCUUACCACGACUUGGGUGGUGUAGCUAAACGCGAAGACGUCGCGCUUGGUCAGGAGCUUGUCCACGAACGGACCAGUGACGAGCAGCACCGCGGACUGGUACGGCGACGACUGGUACAGCAGCUGCGUCGAGGAAACCUUCAGCCUCCUCUGGAUUUGGUUGGUCAGCUUUGUUCAACACCAAGGUUAAGGAUGACAGGCCAGCAUGUGGAUGCAGCGUAUGCAGGGUGCAUGAAAGACUGUAAGAUCCAGCAGCUCGCUUGAGCUGCUGAACGACGAAGUUCAUGUGAGAACAGCAAGCAUAAGGAUACAAUCUGCCCGACGCAUGUCGCGGCGAUGGUGAGCACGGCAAUGAUGGAGCCGAGGAGAUUGAGCUGGAGAUCUGUGACCGAUGCGAUGCCGACUCCCAGGAGCAGGACCAUGAGGGAGGCCUUGAUGGUCUGACUGAAAGGUUCAAGCUUGUCGAGUAUGAGAAGUCAUUUUUUUUCACAACACGGAGCAGGAGCAGCUCAAAUUAAACACUGGGCAGAAUGUGGCAAGGAUUUUGGGUAUGACCUGAACUUCUUGUUCAGAAAGAUGGUUUCCAAGACUAUGGUGAAGGGUAUGAUGGCCAGCUUGGUCAUCUGUUACAAGAAACAAGGGUAAAUUCAGUACAAUAGAAACAAUGGUAAAUUCAGAGGCAACAACAUAAUACUACUGGUCAGCAAAUAGAAGUGUAGUAGUCAGUGUAUGCUUGCCUGGUAGAAGCCAACAGAGUUGAAUCCGAGGCAGAGGUUGAGGAGACCAAUGGAGAUGCCAUUUAGCAGGCCGAAGGAGAUGACGGUCCGCGCGUCAAUUGCCUUUGGCUCAAAGAAAUGCAGCCGCUGCGCAACGUACAGCGUGAAGAAGGUCACCAUGAGGUGCCAGCUCGUCAGCGUCGUCGCUGCAUUUUUUUCAGAACCCAAAACGCCAGCAGCCACAAAAUCAGAAACUUUGGCUUGCACGCACAGCAACAGUAUAUAGUAUUGUUUGUAGUAGACAAAAACUUUGCCGUAGAGGUGUGGUUACACAUACUGACCGAAGAAGAAGCCGAGAGUGCUGAUGAGGUACUUGUUGCAGAUGACGAUGGCCACCGACGAGGUGACCGAGAGGCCCAGCGCGCCAGCGACGCCCGUCCGGGAGCCCGCGCCGUCCGACAUCUCCUCCCCGCCGACGGCGGCCGGUGACUUCCCUCCUGCUGGUGCAGACGAAGUCAUGAAAUGAACAGCGAUUGAUGUGGGCGAAUAUACCCUAGACGUGCUUGUUUCGGCUGUGAAUCUGGAGGCUCAUUAGGUAUCACUAUCAGGGUAUUGGAUACACACGCCCGCACGUGAUAAGCUCGCUCAAUAGCGUUGACAUCGCCGCGUCAGACGGACCGGCAGCAAAUCCCGAGGCUAAGGGAGCGGAAAAGGUACCGUGUGUUCAUGUGGCAUGAUCUGCUGCACUUGUGUCAGUCUAGAUCAAAAAGAAAACAUUUGAACCGAUGUUUAGGCAUUGUUUAAUUCACCCAAAAACAAAAAACUUUUUAAGAUUCUCCAUCACAUCAAAUCUUACGGCACAUACAUGGAGCAUUAAAUAUAGGUGAAAAUAAAAACUAAUUGCACAGUUUGCUUGUAUUAAACCUAGCUACUCCAUGAUUGAACAAUAUUUGUCAAAUAAAAACAAAAAUGCUACUGUAUCAAAAUCUAAAAACUUUUUGAUCUAAAUAAAGCCUUAGUCGUGUUCGCGUCUGUACAUCCCAUUCCCACAGCGAGAUUGUUAGUGCAUUGCUGCAAGAAUCCAUCGGCCAGGAACUUGCAUUUGGUGAGUCUGAACACAUGUGUGAGUGCUACGUACUACCGUCCAACAAAAGGUAGAGUGUGACCUGGACCAAAAUCAUUGAUUUGGUGCUUAGUGGCUAGGAGACAAUUGGAAGAAAGCAGGUUCAAGUAGGUAGCCACCCCUCCAUGUGUGUCUGUGCUAAUCUGAGACCAUUCUGUCUGCCUACUUUCGUUAGGUGGUUAGUCACCGGCACACCUGUCAGUGUCACACCAGUAUGGAGUGGCACACACAUGACACGAUGUACUCUCCAGCCUGGCCUACUGUGGAGCCAAAGUUUCAAAUCUGACUUUAUAAUACGUAAUAGAUAUCAAAUAACUAAUUAUAAAAUAUAUUUUUAAGAUAAACAUAUUUUUAAAAAUAAUCAGUGAAACUAUUUCUUUCCAUAAAUCUACUUAAACUUUAGAUUGUUUAAUUUUCCAAAAAGUGAAAUUUUCAUUUCUUUUUGGGGAUGGAGAGAGUACCACUGGAGCUUCUAGACUAUCAAACCAGGAAGGAAGAUGGCAAUGCAUCAUAGUUGUAGUACGUCUGAUUAGUGAACAGAAAGAAAAACGACAGCUACAGUCAGUCAGUCACCAAGGUAAAUCGGCUAGCACAAGGCGACAUGGUAGGUCUUGUUUAGUUCACUCCGAAAUCCAAAAAGUUUUCAAGAUUCUCUGUCACAUCUAAUCUUGCGGCACAUGCAUGAAACAUUAAAUAUAGACGAAAACAAAAACUAAUCACACAGUUUAACUGUGAAUCGCGAGACGAAUCUUUUGACCCUAGUUAGUCUAUGAUUGGACAAUAUUUACCACAAACAAACGAAAGUGCUACAGUAGCGAAAUCUAAAAAAAUUUUAUAUCUAAACAAGGUCUAAGCUGAAGUGCUGAACAUGUCCCGAAAACGUCAAAAUGAAUAAAUAAUAAUAGCAGUACUCCUAGUGAAGUACUGUACGAUCCAUUGAUUAGUCGGUGCUGCAAUGCAUUUUUCGGAGAUCUCGGGAAGUCGGGAUGAUAAUUCAGGUCCGUAUGGCCCUACAAAGAAGAGGCAGGUCAACGGGAGCCCGGCAUGGAAACCGGCGAGAUGCGGGUGAAGGCGUGCCAAGGCCUUGUUUAGUUUCGAAAAGUGAAAAGUUUUCGGUACUAUAAUAUUUUCGUUUGUUUGUGACAAAUAUUAUAUAAUUAUGGACUAACUAGGAUCAAAAGAUUCGUCUCGUAAUUUACAGCUAAACUGUGUAAUUAGUUUUUAUUUUCGUCUAUAUUUAAUAUUUCAUGUAUGUGCCAUAAAAUUCGAUUUGACGAAAAUUUUUGAAAUUUUUUUGAUUUUGAGACUGAACUAAACAAGGCCUUGCUUCGUUGCUGCGACCGGCUACUGCGUGCGUGCACGAGGUGGAGCCCGCGGUUAAUGUGCAGGGUGUCAGAGAAACUUCCAUCGGCCCAGAUCCCAGUGAUCGUAGGGCCUACGGAUGAGGCCUUGCCAUUUCAGGGCGACAACAGAGGUCUUGUUUAAUUUUGCAAAAUUUUUUAGAUUCUCUGUCACAUCAAAUCUUUAGAUGCAUGCAUGAAGUAUUAAAUAUAUACGAAAAUAAAAACUAAUUGCACAGUUUGGUCGAAAUUGAUGAGACGAAUCUUUUAACCCUAGUUAGUACAUGAUUAGACAAUAUUUGUCAAAUACAAACGAAAGUAUCACUAUUCAUAUUUUGCAAAAAGUUUUGGAAGUAAACGAGGCCAGAGACUGCCGGACAGAACAUGAGGUACCGCAGGCAGCAGUACCAUUUGCAGAUUCUGGACCAUUUCCACGAAAUUAGGCCUGGUUUAGUUUACAAAAAUUUUCAAGAUUCCUCAUCACAUCGAAUCUUUGUACACAUGCAUGGAGCAUUAAAUAUAGACGAAAAUAAAAACUAAUUGUACAGUUUGUCUGUAAUUUGCGAGACGAAUCUUUUGAGCCUAGUUACUUUAUAAUUGGAUAAUAAUUGUCACAUACAAACGAAAGUGCUACAGUAGAAAAAACUAAAAAUUUUCGCAAACUGAACAAAGCCUAACGCGUUGAAACAGAGUGUUCGCAGGGAACGCAGACAAAGCACGGUGGCGAGGACAAGAUCAGAGUCAGAGAUAUUUUCUUUCCAAUCUCUCCAUCACCGACGGCGACGUCCACACGCGAUGAGCAAGGCUAUGAUGGCACAGGCACAGCGGCACAGGGAGGGGCGAACAAGGGGCUCCUCAGGCCAGUGCAAUGCUGCCACGUCGGACUAGGUACUAGGAAGCCUUGUUCUGAUCCCCUUCGUUGGUUUGACUACCAGCUUGGCAACAGAGACGAGGCACGCUUAUGUCAUGUGAGCAGAAUACCGAGUUGUUGCACACCUAUUGUCUGUCCAUUCAGAAACUUUUGCUACUGCUAGUAUUGAUUUGGAGUGCACAUCUAAUGACGACCACGCACCCUCCUUGGCCUUGUUUAGUUCCUAGAAAAUUUUGCAAAAUUUUUCACAUUCCCCGUCACAUCGAAUCUUUAGACGCAUGCAUGAAGUAUUAAAUAUAGAUGAAAAUAAAAACUAAUUGCACAGUUUGGUCGAAAUUGACGAGACGAAUCUUUUGAGCCUAGUUAGUCUAUAAUUGGAUAAUAUUUGUCAAAUACAAACGAAAGUGCUACAAUGUCGAUUUCCUAAAAUUUUUCAGAACUAAACAAGGCCCUUGUCUAUCUAAGUUGGUUUAACCAAGAUUACUCUGAAACUAGUACUAGUACCAACUUGACUUACUAUAGUUCAUACGGAUUACGGAGGGAGCACACAUUUUGGCCACCAACUCCGCGCUGCUAAUUCUAUACACCACUUGCUCUGCAAUAUGCAAGUGCACCCAGAUAACGCGCAAAGCCAUACGCACGCUCCAGUAGCAUGACGCACAAAAAUGCACACGCAACAUUCUCUAAAAUUGGCAAUGUAUUCAUGAAACCGGCCGAGCUUGUGCGCGUCGAUCAUCAAAACAAGCGCCCGUAACUGAAAGGCGUCGGACGGUAUAGCGGCCACGGAUCAAACGAGUCUGCCAAGAUGUUGCGAGAUUCAUUCCUUGGCAGACAACCAACUCGAACGCAUGCCCCGCAUCAACAGAAUCCUGAUUCCUUUUCCCCAUGAAAGGAAAAUCAGAAUCCUGGUUCUCGACGGUAUAAAUCAAAACAAACAAACAAACAAACGAGCAAUCGUAUGGACGAAUGAAUGGAUGGGACGAACAGACACAAGUAAACCAGCGAGCGAUCCGGAAGAGGGAGGGAGGGAGGAAAAACAUGGGGGAACGGAGAGGAGGGGGGAUGGCAUCGUACGCACCUCUUGCGCCUCGCCUCCGGUCCGGAGGAUCCUUUAUUUAUCUAUCUAUCUAUAUAUCCGUGGUUCUUCCCGGCGAGUCCUCGAAUAUGGAUCGGAUCUUCUGGCGAGGAAGGAGAACGGGAGAGACCGAGAGAGAGACAGAGAGGCGGGCCGCUCCCUUGUCUCGCGCCCGCGGGUUUUGGUGAUCGAUUGCCCGUGUGAUCUGUGAAUUGGAUUGGAGGAGGAGGAGGAGGGGUGGUGGUGGUGGUGGUGGAGGAGGAGAUGCGUGAGGCGGAGGAAGUCUUCUUCCAGAGAAUGGAGGGAGGGUUAGGUGGGCGAACAGCUCAAACGCCCGCCGUCGCUCGCAUGAUCGCGUCGCGCCGCAUCACCUUCACCUUCUCCUUCUCCUCGCCUCGCCGCCGUGUCGAGGCUGUGGUGUCCCACCCACGAGACCACGAUUUCAUUGGAUCCUAACGCUAAAUAUGCUAGCAUAAUAGUAGUCCUAUACUAGUCCUCUCCUCUGAGACACGGGCCCUACCUGACAGCAAGAGAAACACAGAGCCCGGAACACGUAGGGUUUUUCGGCCUUUUGUUUGUACUAGCAAAUAUGUUCGUAUGUGUAAUGAGAGAAAAAUAAUAAAUAGUUAUAGAAAGUGAUGACAUAAUAUUACAUAUCUAUUUAUAUUGAUUCUUUUAUAAAAUUUAAAGUCUAUAAUUUAUUUUAUUGAUAACCAUAACAUUUAUAGUAUUAGAUAGUUAAUAUUUAUAAUAAUAUAUAGCUCGGAGACCUAUUUAUUUAAUAAUAAAAAUAAAAAUAGUUAAACCUUAUCUUACUCUAAUAUUAACUCUUAAUAUACCUUAGUAUUAUAUUAAAACAUGAGAAGUUUGUUGCUAGCUUUAUUUUUUUAUUUAGAUUAGGAUUCCUAUGAAAUAUGAUAUAUCAGUUAAAUGUAUGUAGAUUAUGAACACAUGGAUUUAUGAAGUAUUCAUAUGACAUAACAACACAUCGUGCAAAGGUAGUGGAAGCAUCCUCAAGCAUAAAUUUAGGUAAAUUAGUAAAUCAGUGAGAUAUGCAGGAAUGGUGCUAAAACUUUUACCACAAAUCAAGCAUCACAUUAAAUAGACUACUAUAAAUUUUUUACAAUAAUUGGAGUAAGAUAACUACAAUUUCAAUUUUACAAAAAAAGCAUAGACAACCAUCUUCAGCAAAAGAAAAAUGUAUUAAAUUUUGUGAAUUUUUUGUUUACUGCAUGGAUCUACAUAUUUGGAGCUGAACAAAUUUUAUUUUGUAAUUUUUAGAUUUUUCUAUGAAUCGCUACGCAUUUAUCAAUUUUCAAUUGAUCAAUUUUAGACUAAAAAGCAUAGGCAAACAUCUCCAACAAAAAAAAGUACUAAAAUUUAUGAUAUAUUUUUAUUUACUGCAUGAAUCUACAUAUGUGGAGCUGAACAAAAUUUGUUUUAUAAUUAGCCGAUUUAAAAAAUAAAAGAAAAGUAAAUUAAUAUGACAAACACUUUGUAUCUAGACCUCUAUACUUUCCUUAUUCUUAACAUGUUUUGAUGUGUACAAGAGAUUUUGCAUCGAGAAUCCUAGAAAAAUUUCUAUUUUGUUUUUCUCUUCCACCAGUUUCGGAGGACGGAGGCCGCAGAAAGUUUUUUUUUUUUGAGAUUACACAGUACAACGCAGAUACUCAACACGCACGCACACUCACCCCUAUGAACACACGUACGCGAAUCCUACCCCUAUGAGCACCUUCGAAGGACUGAGCCGGCAAAUCUUGAAAUUCACGAAGUCACCACAGGCGCCUCGCUGUCGACAAGCACGUCGCCUACCACUUAAUGCAUAGCGCCGGAAAAUCCUGAAAUAAAUCCAGAAUAAAGUGCCGCACCCAGGAUUUGAACCCUGGGUGGGAGCCCCCCAAUUUUCAUUCCACGAUUAAGUACAGGUAUCGUGCCACUUCGAUACAUCACGUACGCGUACGCUGCUAUCCAACCUUGCACUCUACAGACAAAAAGGCACCAAUUGCAUCCUGACAAAGCGCCAUGCACGACCACGACGGGUUCCGUUCCGGCGAUCUCGUCAAAUGAAAAAGGAGCAGACAACUACAGGAAUCUGUACAAGUCUUCUGUUCGUACUUCAUAACAUCAGCGAUGGAUGAAAAUGACCGAUACUGAAUUUUUCUGCACGGCAAAACUGGAACAGAAACACGAUUGGUGAUCCAAAGUGGAGACACACCCACUAUCAGGCUACAGACAGCUUGCCCUUGCCCAACCUCUGAAACCUGUGCGAUCAAGAGGUGAAGCCUUUGAUCGCUCAGAGCGAGGCAGUGAACAGCGAGGGCCUGCUGAGGAAUGACCAGCCUACGCUAGAACAUACAUGUAAGAAAAACUAUUCCAAACCUGCUGCCAAAUCUCGUAAAAUGAAAUGUAACAGCGCAAGUUGCAAGCAAAUAUUCGUCUACAAAAAAAAAACAAGCAAGCAAACACGUUAUUCAACAACUGGAUAUUGGGACAAGGACCAAACACUUUGGAAGCAUGCAGAAUUGUUCACCUGAUUAUUAUUAGUUGCUCAUAAACGACAGCAUGCCCGUUUGGCAGCCUAACAGCAAGGCCAAGCAUAACCGAUGCAAAUUUAUAACCAGUACUCGAACGUAACUACAACAUUGGUCAAUGGUCAAUGCUAAAGGACAAAUGUUUCCAACACGCAAGCGGAACCUACAUCCUCCAAUAUGUCUCCAUCCAGAGACACCCUCAAUCGAAAUUUCCAAAGUACAAAAAAUUAUAGAACUUUGUUCAUUUCAGGAAUCAAUGCAGAUAGCAUCAAGAAUACCACAGUACAAGAAUAUGGUUUCGUACAAUCAUCAUAUGGCAAAAUAACAAAGUUGUAGGCGCCACCAAGCCCAAGUCCAGCGAGACCUGGUCGAAAAAAAAGAAAGAAAAUAAAAGAAAAGAAAAAGAAAACAAAAAGAGAAAGGAGGUGGUCCAGCGAGACCUUACAGAUCAGUCUUAUACAGGUAGGUUUGCAGUCGCUGCACACAAAGCUUAUUGGUUCUACAUUGCAUACUACUGAUACAACAGCAGCGACCAUUGUUUGUAUGUACACUUCUCUUAUGACGGGAAAAAGAGUAUCAGAAGCGGUUAAGGGGUGGGAUUUCAAUUAGGAGGCUCAUCUUGUUUGUUCUUUUGGUACACUGUUUCUAGGCACUCCUUGGCCCGGUGAACCUUCGAUUGGAGGUAAAAGCUCCCAGAUUUGGCAUUUCUUUCAAACAAGUUAUCGUAUCGCUGCAUAACACAUAGUUGUUUGCAUUGGAGUGAGAAACAGUGUACCUUCGAUUGGACAACUGUGCAUCCGAAUAAUAGCAAGUCGUAUGAGAAAUGAAACAAAAGGGAAGUAGCAGACCUGUACAAUCUCUUCCCACGUUGAAUUCUCUGAGACACCCAGUAUCUGCCUCGCUUCUUGUUCGGUCAUUGUUUUGCUUGCUCUACGAAUAUUGUUUAUUGCCUCAUGGGCCACACCGGUUUUAUUUGCAUCUGGCAGAGGUAGGAGGUAACAAAAUAAGGAGGUGCAUAAAGCAAUUAAAUGUCACUCUUCCCUGGAAAAUUAAACGAAUAGCAAAAAUAUCAUCCAGAAGGUACUAUCUGUCUGUUGUUGACUCGCAGUGAGUGGAAAGCAAUCAAAGCAUCAGUGUGAUACUAAGAUGACAAUGAAAGGCACUUCACACAACGUCUCAUGUCCAUGAGUCAAUCUAGCCACUAAAUCAGUAUAUUGCCACCAGCUACCUUAUUAUAAGUUUUCAUCUACAAGAUGUACAAGGUGUACGUGAAAUAUUGCAAAUUCUGUGGUCCACUGGACGAGUAGCAGAUUGGUGAUAUUUAGCAAAUAAUGUGUAGAAAGCAGCAACCAUAAAACAGUUUGACUGUUUGAACUAAAAUAUAGUUUCACACCGAUAUACCCCCUUACAUUACAUGAAGCACAUGGUAUUUCAUUCACCAAAAACUAAUGAACUAAAUCAUUUAAUAAAGCACAUGAAGUCCUGAUCAUACUAGUCAGGACAACGGGGUUGAAUGCAGCGACCUUCGACCCGAGAACAUCAACUCAACUUGGUACGUGGGGUCGUUUUCGACCCUGCCUUGUAAACCUCUCACAGUCACCCAGGAAUAUUGUGACUAUGGUCCUUAUAUAUUGUGUCUAACAUUUUUUUUUUCUAGAAACCACCUCAUUUGCUGAAUAAAUUGUCUGCAUAUUUCUUAAGGCAAUGAACUGACAUUUGUCCAGAGAGGAGAGAGCAUUCGAUAGACAACAAAGAAAUGCAGAAUUUCCUAAAUUCAGUUUCUCAAUUCUUUAUGUACACAAACAAAACCUGGAGGGAUCAAAUGAUUAUUUUUAAGCAGUACAUAGUAAAAUUUUUUAUCAUAUAUGUUGACUCAUUCUGGUGAUUUCUUUAAUCGAGGAAACAAAGCUCUCAUGAAAUUCUUUUUUGCCAUCAUAAAUCAGAAUGCAGAGAACAUGCUGUACAGUACUUCAUUCUUGGGGUUUGUUUAAGUCGGGGAAACAAAGCUCUCAUGAAAUUCAUUUUUCUUUGGAUAGAUAUACUUCAAUUUGGUCCAAUGUAAAGCAAUACAUAAGUUUGAUAUCAAGGCAAGCCUCACUGUAUCCAUAUAUCUGGCAUACCAGGCAUAACCCAACUCUGAGCAUAAGUGUUGGCAGUUCAAGUAUGUCUGACAGGCUUAUGUUGCUGGAGGCUACAUGCUGAAGCAUGAACAUACUUGGCAUAUCAGUAGAAAAAAUUAGGGAACUAACAGACUAUCUACCAAAAACUUAUCAGGGCCAGAGAUCUAUUGAUAAACAAAACAAUGAUUAAAAAAUGGCUCCAAGCUAAGAGAAACAGAGAGACCUAUCCUUUCUGGAUUGUGCCAAGAUGAUUAGAUGAGAACACGGAAGGUUCAGUAAGAGUAAGUUAUGACAAUAAUUUUGUCUAUCAUUGUUAUGAAACUGAUCCAUCAUGCCAGAUGCAGUAAAAACAGAAUUACCAAUUUCCUCAUCAAUCAAUGUAACAGUUAAGUAGCCUUUGAUUGCAAAAUUGAUGAACGCCUUCUACCACCUAUCAUUUUUAUCUAUAAAAGGAACAGGGAGCUGGCAGAGACUAUUUGUGGGUCAUUAAGAAGCUCAUGGCAGCAGAACUUACUAUCAAGUGCUUUACGAUAUGCCUGAAGCAUAGCUCUUCCUAUAAUUGUAGAGCCCAUGACAAUCAGAUUUGCAAUAAGCUUCCCAGCCUGAGAAAGAAAAAAGAAGCACAUAAAUGAGCAUCCAAAUGUAAAUGUGUAAAUCAAACAUUUAAAUAAGUGCAAGUCUACUUUCAGAGGGGGUACAAGUACAACUCAAGAACCUAUCCAACACAAAACGGAUCAGACUGGAGAAAGUACUCUUAGGAAACCCCCUGAAAAUGAGAAGUUGCCAGCGAAUAUGAUAGACCUAUUUUGGUUCAAAUUAUAAAUGCGGCCAAUAUAACCUUUUAGGGCUAAAAACCACCAAGCAAAAGCACACAGGUCCUAGCCUGAUGAUAGAGAGGCAGUUUGUGGAAUAUAAGGUUUUCGGCAAUUCGAUUUCACACAGUAGCACGUGAGAAGUUUGUCCCAACCUUGUCGUGAAUUUUUUUUAGCUUACUUAGGUGUUACAAAAUUCUUUGUUUCCUUGAGGUGGUUGCUAAUGUAACAUCGUAUUCUGCUUCUUUACAUGUUGUCGAAUUCAAAACUGUCAGAACCUACAGCGUGAGCGCGUAAGACUAUAGAAAGAUAGUAGCAGCUUAUAUUCAUCUACCCAGAAAUGUACUGAAAAUCCCAUUUCGUCCCAUCGUGCUGCCCGAACCACAGCGCCCCGCCCACAUCACGACGAGGGCGCCAGCAAUUCGAACGUGCAGCAAGCAAUCCGCGACCCCACGGACCCCAAAUCUCGCGAACGCUAGCCUUAUCCCCGACAGGAGGAAAGAAACUACGGAUCGCAGCUCCUCUCAACCCAACGAGGCGAAUGAGAUUGAGAGCAAAGCCAGGGUGGUUUUGUACCGCCGGCGCGUGGCAUAGGCAGCGCGACACGGAGAUUGAGCGGAGGACGGGAGAGAGGAGGAGGAUGAGGGCUGACCAUGGUAGCUCCGACGAGGGUGCGAUCCAAGCCAAGCCCGUCGCGCAGCUGCCGGAGAGGAGAGAGAGACGGACGCCGAGAGUGGAGGCCUGGAGGGGAAGGGGAGGUACGCGAUUGGUGUCGUUUCGUGCUGGGCCGGUUUGGUUGGGGGAGGAGGAGGAGGGGAGAAGGUUCCAGAAGGGGACGACGAAGCGUCUCGCUCCGCUCGGUCGACCCGGCCCGGCCCAGGUUCAAGUGCUCCCUUCCCGGCUCGGCUCGGUAGUUCUUCUUGUAUGGGCUGCCGAUCCAAUUCGUUGCGGCCUUGCGGGCUCGUGGACAUGUGCACCUCGGGACCUGACGCAAUUCGCAUCUCUGUUUGAGAUGUCUGACCACUGGCUAACGGCGCGUUGCAAAUGUGCUCCCCCCCCUCGCGAUCUCUCUCCUUUGCGGCGGUGCAGCAUCUUCUCGUCUUCCUAGGCUCUGGCAGCAGCCACCGGAGGCCGGUGGAAAAAUGUACUAGUUGUUCGCGGAUUUGUUAUAAAAGAUAUUAUUAAAUGAUUGGUAGAUUUGGAAGUGAGAGUCUGUUUGGUACAGUUCACAAUAGCUUCAUUAGCUGUUAUGAGCUGUUUUUUACUAAACAUUUAUUUCUAAAAUAGUUUUAUGGGUGAAACUAUUUUUCUUCUCCUCUCACAAAGACAUGAGUUGGGAUAAAACUGAAAAAACUAGAUUAUUACAGCUCUCUCCUUAAUUUCUCUCUCUCAUCUAUAUAUAUAGUUGAUGAAGCUAUUUUACCAAGUACUUCUUUUUGAUGAAAUCUUUUACCAAGUACUUUUUUCGAAACAGCUCAGCUUCAUCUAGAAAGUUGCUCAUAAAGCUAUUUUCUAAAAAAUUAGAGUGAAGUUGAGUUGUGCCAAACAAAGCUUAAUCUUAAGCAAACAAGGUGUAGUUUUUUCAGGAUUAGCAGCUUGGUAAAAAAAAUUCCAAAAAAUUGACAAAAACAAAUUAAAAAAUUGACUACAUAAUGGCACAUGUACGGCUAGCUAUUUAUAGUCGUGGUCGACUGUCUUUUUUGGUUUAUGGGAGGAACACAACACUAAUUAGAGUGCAACAAGAUUAGAGAAACAGAAACUCAGAAAGUCUGCAAAAGAAAAACGAAAGGGGAGAUUUCGAUCCAAAAGAUCUGCAUGCACUGAAUUGUAUUACACACUUGCUGAGUUUGAUUUGCUGUAUUCAAUCGAAUUCAGCAUACAUCUUGAAGCUAACAUACAUAGCAGGUACUGGCUGCUAAUACUAUUACUAGAACGUACACCAGGGAGGGGGCGAACCGGUCAAGUCUUUUUACUGCUACUACAGACAACACUGCAAGCCAUUAUCCAUCAUCCCCAGUGGAAGCAAACACAAGGCAUCAUAUACAAAACCGUACGUACGUACUCCGGCUACACCAACCAAACCCUUCUCUUUUUUUCCCCCUCCGGCCGGCACUCCAAACCGAUCUGCAUCAAGUUAAAAAAACAGAAGAAAAAUCCCAAUCCGAUGACGGCGCUAGCUAAUCUUGUUCCUUAAUUCACCGAUGAUCAAAUGUCGCAAUCGCCUGCCCCGUUGUUUGGCUGCUUCAGGCGUUGCCGCGCUGGCUCUGGCGGCUCUUUGCGUGGGUAGCAGCAGUAUAGUGUCAGUAGCCCAGCUGGUGGCCCAUCUCCCAGUUGAGCGUGGACGCCACCCUGUCGUGGUAGGGCUCGUACUCCUGCACACAUCGAUCGAUCGCAUUUGCACAAAGAUGCAAUGCAUGACGAAUAUUAGCAACCUAACGGAAUGAUGAACUGAAUUUGGGAGCAACAAGUUUUUGGUCAUCGAUCGAUAUGAUCGAUCGAUCCUCCAUGCAUGCACAAACGAACCUCGAGCUUGUCCAUGAGCUCCUGCGCGGUGGGCGCGAGGACGAUGAUGCGGCGGGCGCUGGGGUUGAUGAAGCCCUCCUCCACGGCCUUGUCGAUGAAGGUCAGCAGCGAGUUGUAGUAGCCGUCCACGUUCAGCAGCCCAACCUGCAUAUUAUGGAGAGAAGGUUAUAUACGUAGCGCGUUCGUCAGAGCAAACCAAAACCUCUGUAUCGGUGCAGGGUGUGGUAGUAGCUAGCUAGUAGUAGCACAGAAUGAACGGAACGGCGCAUGCAGGCGCCUAGCUAGGCAAAUUACCGGCUUGUGGUGGAUGCCCAGCUGCGCCCACGUGAUGACCUCGAGCAGCUCCUCCAGCGUCCCAUACCCUCCUGCAUGCAUGCAACGAAACCAUCAAGAUGGGCUCAGAGCUGCCUUCGGGCCUUGUUUAGUUCUAAAAAAUUUUGAAUUUUUUUAGAUUUCUUAUAACAUCAAAUCAUGCGGUACAUGCAUAAAGUAUUAAAUAUAGAUAAAAAAUAACUAAUUAUAUAAUUUAUUUAUAAUUUGCGAAACAAAUUUUUUAAGCCUAUUAUGAUUGGACAACAUUUAUCAAAUACAAACGAAAAUAUUACAAUGCUCAUUUUACAAAAUUUUUUAUCUAAACAAGGCCUCGAUCAAGUUUGAAUGAAACAGUCCAUGCGUCUUGCCAGCCUACCACCACUCGACUACUACGUAGGAGUACUCGAUCUGUACUGUACUCCUGCUAACUCCCGGUGAAUAGAACAACGUCUCAGCUCGGUGCCAAUUAUUGGCCACGCUACGAGCUAGCAGUACGCAGUAUAUGUGGCAUGUGAGGCGCUGUACGUGUGGUGCGUGCCACUAUGCACGCCAGAUCAGGGGCGGAGCUAGAAUUUAAAUAUAGAGGGGGCCAUGCAAACCAAGAACAAUCAUGUGUAUCAAAAUAUUACAUGACAAAGGUGUACAUAGCAGCAAAAUAACGUUUGUGUUACGAUACAAAAAAGAAGAAGAAAAACUAAAAAAAUAAAGAUAAAUUAAUUAGUCUCAGGCCUCUAACCUUCACCUAAUCAAAUCUAUUUCUUUGGCCAGGAAAAGAAUCACAAUAAAACAAGUAGUUAAACGAGGGCAAAAUUAAUCAGCACUAGAUCCUAACAUCGAAUGACAAACAAUCAGUUGCAUGUCGUUUAGCCUCAGCCAAGACGAUCACUUAAACGGGUAAAAUGGUCAUUUAAAUAGAAGGUUAAACAGAAACACCAUACCACUGUUAGUGUUUAAAAGUUGAGUACACGAGCUAAAUAACCGUUUAGAGUUUAGAUAAAUAAUGACAAAAACUUAGGAGAUAAGAAAGAUAAUAGGAAGACUAAUGCUAAAUAAUAUAGAUCCUAUUGUUGGGGAUCAAUUCAGAAGGAUUAAACAAGAAAAACGCUGAUUUUUAAUUAACUAGCUAAUUAGAGUAUGUAGUAGGGACAAACUAAUGUUUGAUAGGCAAUAAUAAAAAUAAAAGAUAUAAAGAAAAUAUUAGAAAGAUCUAGAUUUUAUUUGUAUAAGAAACUAUUAGAGAUUAAUAUGAAAUAAGAAUAAAAAUCUUAGUACAGAUAAUAUUAUUAAUUAGUUAAUUAGACAAUUCAACAUCUAAUCUAUGGGGUAUAUUAAGGGAGUUAUGGGAAGGUUGGGGGGUGCCAGCCCCCCUCAGCCCCCCCUUCCCUCCGCCACUGCGCCAGAUGAAGAAGCACGACGAGUCACUGUACCACUGGUAAUCUGGUACACAUUAGAGAUCCAUCUACCACCGCUGGUACUUGUACUUGUAAAUACUCCAUAGAACAGUAAAAACGCAGUGGUGGUGAUGCAUGGAUGAUUGAUGGAUCGUGGCUAGCUUGCUUUACCAGGCAGGGCGAUGAAUGCGUCGGACUGCCGCGCCAUCUCUGCUUUCCUCUGGUGCAUGUCGGCCACCGGGCGCACCUCCCCGACUGUCUCGCCACUUAUCUGCAUGCCAAGAAACACAAUGCAAUGCAAUUUAUUACCUCCUGCUUAGUUUAAGAAUUAAUUCAGAUACGAUACGACCACCACGUAGUACGAAUUAAUGCUACAGCAAGUGCAAGCAGAUAUUUCUUCUUGCCAUGCCAUGCAUGCUACGUAUACUCUACGAUGCCUGGUCUCUCUACUUUAUGGUUGGGGAAUGACGAGCAUGCAUGGUAGUAUGAUUUUGCUUGGAGAGAUCGGAACAGAAACUGGCCCUCUUCACUUCACCCCCUUUGGAAAUGGUAAAAGGUCGGACAGUAUAUGUUUGAGUAACCAGGAAGAGGACCACAUCAAGCUGGACCAAUGGUUUAAUUUUAUCAUAUGACAUCGGGUACUACUACAGUAGUAUUCUGUAGAGAGACAUGACAGUACGAGCCGAAGUAAAAACAAUCUCAAAAUAUUGGGAGGCCAGGCCGCUAAUAAAGCUUUGUUUCAAACCCUACUGAGUAAACCAUUACAAAUCUCUCUAGCCUAAUUAUAGCCUAAACGAAGUAGCCCUAGUAGUAGUACAAACCAUUUCCCCGGCGAGGCGACCAGGCAGCUGGGGACGGAUGAUGCCACAGCAGGACUUUUUGGGGGGAAAGGAAAGGAAAGGAAUUAUUCAGCCCUAAUUAACAAACAAACAAACACCUGUCCAUAAAAAGCGUCGCUUUUGCUCACUAGUUUAUCCUCACGCCAAGAUCUGGGAUUCGUGCCAAUGCAAAAGCAUCAUGCAUGCAGGCUUCUCUCGAUCGCGGCCGCAUGCUGGUCAUCAGUCAGAUUUGCAAUUUGUUUUAUGCGUCAAGUGCCAUGCCCCCCGGGACUCCAGCAGCAGAGCCCAAACUCCCAAGCCCCAUUUCAUAUAACCACUUGUACGACGCCCUACACGGCUACACGCACUCGGAAUGCUAAAAACAAGUCGCCAACGUGAGCGCGUGCGUGCUCCAUGAUUAUUAUUGUGAGGGCCCGGCCCAGAUUUGACGAGUAUUUUUUUUCUCUCCUUAUUACUACUUAGUUUAGUGUUAAGCAGCUGUGACACUGACAUGGAACCGAAUAUAUGUAGUAGUGGGAGUGCUAGGCAGGCGUGCUAUGCAGGGCAGGAGGGGACGGCAGGGCAGGCAGACAUACCUCUGGUGUCAUGAGCGUCUUGGGAAUGACCCUGCAUGCGCGUGGACAGCAAACAUGACAAAAAGAAGCGAUCAGCACAGGAAGACAGGCCAAAGGCAAGCCACACAAACAUUCUUCUGGGGAUGAGGCGACGGUGACUGCUUGCUUUGCUUUGCUUACCCGAUGACGUGGCGGCCGCCGUCGUAGACGGCCUGGGAGACGAGGCCCAUCAGCCCGAUGCUGCCGCCUCCGUACACCAGGUCGACGCUCCGGGCCACCUGCAGCAGAGCGCACCCACACACAAAAGAAAAGCCAUCGAUUACUACUACUGGUCGGAGUUAUAGUUUAACUGUUUAAACUGGUGGGCCGGCGUACGCACGGCAAUGGCAUGUCUCCCCCCCGGUGCCCGACUCUCGCUCUCUGCCUCUGUCUCGUGACCUGGUGGUAGCCGCCGGUCCGGUCUCAUUAUGGACGCGUCAAUGCGGUAGGCCCGGGCCGACCGGUGGCGAGUGGUGACCGCGCAGCCGCUCGCGCAUGCCCUGCCCAUGCCGCGCUGAUGGCAACUCGUGAUUUUUUUUUUUCACUUUGGGGUUCCAGGCAGACGACGUGUGUGGGGAAACACGGCAAGGCAGCCGGAUCGGAUGAGGGGGCAGGGUGGGUGCAGGGACCCAGGAUGAGGAUCCCCAGUGGCUGCGGAGCGUGACCGGCACCCAGCCAGAAAAGCAGAGUGCUACCGUGUGCCCUGCCUCUGGUUCGGGUCCGGUUCAAGCUCUCAACAAAAGCUGGAGACGCUCGCAUGGCGUACGGUGACCGGGCUGACUAAAGCCGGUUCGAUUGAUUCCUCUGGCUGCUGGUUAUGGUACUACGUACUACAGACGAAUUUUGCAUACGACUUUACUGUGCAAGUGUGUGCGCGCACUACGGUUUUGAGAGACCGUGUCCGGCUCCGGCCCCUAGCUAGCUAACCUACCUGAGAUGUUUUUUGUUUUUUUUUUGAAGAUACUCGUAUGAAAGAUGCAUGGAUGGAUCAUGGAUGGUCAAGUCAUGCAUACUAGUACUACUAGCUUUAGCUGCAAGCCUGCAACUGCAAAAGGAGGCGAUUAGCAGGCGACAGAACCACCAGAGAACGAAGCGUACAGUACGUCUUGGAGAGCAGUAGAAUUCACCAAGAGGGACGUGGGUGGGUGUGAGUCAGUGAGUGACAGACAGGGCGAGGCGAGGCGAGAGUUUGGUUACCAGCUCGUUGCCGAGCUCAAUGGCGGCGUCAUGGUAGCUCCGCUUCUUCCCCUGGCUGCUGCCGCAGAAGACGCAGAUCCUCUUGAACCUCGACUGCCUCAUCGUCAUGGCUGAUGCCUCUCUCACUCUCGGUGCCGCUGUCUAUAUAUCUCUACCGGCGGCUGUACUGCUUCUCUACUGUGUGUAAGGGAGUUACAGGCUCGAGUUCGCUGUGCUAUAGCUAGCUUCUCGCCGCUCCCGUUGCUGCUGCUGCGGCGGCGAGAGGUGGUGCACUGUGGCUGUGCGCCGCUGGCUAGCUAGUGCAAGCGAGCAGCGCGCACUACUACAAAGAAGAGAUGGAUGGCCUGGCCUUCUUGGCGAGCAGCUGAUGCCCGGCACCGAGUGCGCCACCCAUGGCUUAUAUAAAAGCGCGGGGGGAGAGGAGAGAGAAACGCCCGCCGGGCCGGUGUCCGGAUCGGAUGGUGGUGGUAGCAGCAGGACAGGAGUGGUGUGUGUGUGUGUGUUGUACGAGUGGAGAAAGAAAUGCAUGCACAUGGACAUGGACGAAAGGAAAAGAAAGAAAACGCUCCCAGCAUCCGCCACAAAGGGCCCGCGAGCGACGCUAGCUGCCGGCCGGAUGGAUGGAUGGAUGGCUUUACAGUGAAACGGACGGGCAGGUUGGUUGGGUUGGUUAUUGACGGCUGACUCACCUUAUCGGUUUUGCCGGUGUAAAAUUUUGCGGCCAAGGCAAAAUCAUGCGUGCUUGGCUAUCUUUGCUGAUACUAUAUAAUUUGUUAGGAAAAAGCAUAAUCAUGGGGCAGAGUCGUGCGCUGACAUACUAGUACUUGAUAGCUCCUAUCUUGAUUUCGUGGAGGUGCUGUGUUUGACUGCUGGUAUAUUCCAUAGUAUAUAAAUUAGUAGUAAAUUGUACGAGAUAAGAUCAUUUCCAAAAAAUUAUCUAAAGUCGCUCUCUUGUUGGAAGAGUUAUUUGUGUAAAGUUUGUUUUCUAUUUUUUUUCAUUCUCUGACAGUUUUAUAUAUCUUGUUUGUACUUAAGAGAGCCAUUCUCGUUUUAUAUUUUUGGCUAGUGAGAAAUUAGAAAUAGAAGAUGACUAUGUUUGGAUAAUCAAUAAAAAGAAGUUGCUGAAACCUUUUUUUAACCAAAAUCUUUGUUCCCUUAUGUUCUAUCUAGAACUAAUGAUUUAUAGUUUUGCAUGUGCAGGCAUGGAUCUAAAUUGACAAAUAUUGUGUCAGCGUGCUCAUAGUUUCACCAAACUGAUAUGCAGGAUAUGUGUUACUCAUAGAUUAACGACUUUUUAUUUCUUUUUUAAUAUUUUUUUCUCCAUGCUCGGUUGGCAUAGAAAUUCGGCUAUAUAUAUAGUGAUGACAUGUGAGUGGGAAGCAGGUCAAAAUAGACAAAUCGUCUAUGGUCCCCGAGCUUUGAAUACGGAAACGCGCUCCAUACGUUCCCGAUCACGAUCUUAUCCUCCUCCGAUGGUUAACCUCCGCACACACCGCAUAUGCUGCUGCCAAGCACCCUCCUCCCAAAAAUCCCACACGCAGUGAAACAAAAACCAGACAAGAAGUUCAAAGUAACACUUAUCUUAUAAGUCAUAUUUUUUCUGCCAGCAAACAAUGUUUUUUUUUCUCAUAAUAAAUCAACAAACAGUAAAUAUUUUAUUUUCAUCCUCCUCAUUUUGACCAAGUACCAAACAAGUGUUCGAUAUCAGUCGAUGGGGGAAACAAAUGCCAAAACAAUAUAGAUGACACGCCAAAUGAAUUUGGCAUAACAACAAAAAAAAGAUAUGCUUGAUAGUUUCAUGUUUACAAUAGAAGCAACAAAAUUUACUACCAAUGCCACAAGAAAAUCUUAAUUUUUAGUGGAUUUCGUACAUUGACUUAGCAGAGAAGACUCCAUUUUUUAUGUCCUGAAAUGAUAAUUAUAUUUGGUUAUAAACUGAAAAAGUCAGACAAAAUAGAUUGCCGUUUGUCGUUGCUGCUUCUGAAAAACCAGAAAGGAACGCCGGAACGGGAACAAAGCCCGAGAUAAUUGGAACAAACAGGCUCUCCGGCUCGAGCCCACGACAGGCAGCCAUGCAUGCGCGCUCCAUCUGCAUGGGAGGAGCGACUAGCGAGCCAUUCCCUGCGCUGCGCAGGAGGAGCCGCGCGCCGCCGUGGGGACAUCCGGCAUCGGUGCCGGGCCGGCGCACAAGGCACAAAGCACGCACGCACACACAUGCGGAGAACGCCCGCGUGCGAGGCCAUCCUGCCCGCGCCGGCGCGGCACGCGGGCCGACGCGCGCCCGCACUCCUGGCCAUGCCGUACGUAAAACGUAGCCUGCGGAGCUUGGUCGCCUGGAGCAAGAGAGCCUGCGCGCGCGUGCGCGGCGACUGCCGGUGCCGGCACGGGGUGAUGGGCGGGCCGCGGGCGCCGCGCGGUGACCGGAAGUCGGGAACGGGGCGGAGUGGGGUUCCGUGCGCGCUGCAGCGCGCGUUCGAGUCCGGCAGUCCGCGCCCCCGGGCCAGGGGGCCGGUACGGCGGCGAGUACGCCGCCUCUGCGCGGUCCGUUGGCUGGUCGGCGGGCGGUCCAGGUCCGUGUGUGCGGCAUCGUCGUGGAUGUACCCGUGCGCGUCCCCUUGCCGGGCGGCACGCGGCAUCUGUCCGUCUCCUCGCCCAUACGUGCACGGCUGCACGCGUGAUGGAUUAUUGGAGCCAGCCAGCGUUGGACUUGGACAGAUGCCGAUCGAGAUGCGUGUGUGUGAGGUCGGAGUGGGACUGAUCAGUGGUGUGUUGGGGCUGUGCUUGCCCGCCCGUGCACAUGUGUGCUGUUCGCGUGUACGUCGUGGUCGACGGGAAUCUGACGGCUGGAGUAGGAGAUGGUAGGUCGAUUACCCCACCCGUUUACUGUUUAAAUUAUACACCUGCGCAUGUUGCAUUUUUUGUAGGUCCGAAGCCUGUUUUGUUAGAAGUUUUAGGGUGUUUGUGACUGCUCCACAAACUUCACCAUGGAGCAGCUCUACAAAAAAUUAGAGUUUAUGUGUGCUCUCACAACUUCACUUUUUUUCUUAAACUGAGUGCAUGUAGCUAAAACCGUUUAGCUAAAAAAUACAAAGCAGAACUAAAAAAAUAUGAAGCAGAACAGUCUCAAACACCCUACCCUUACAAGCACAGUACGGUUCGUUUGGCUAGAGUGCCGCGCCGGCGCCACACGAUUGCCGUCUAUGGCUGCUAGCAACUGGCCCACUUAGCCGCCUGGCACGGUAACCCCCGACCCCCGCGCGAUGUCACCUCUAUAAACAUAAGCAUGCAAACAGUACCUCUGAAUACCCCGAGAGACUCUGCCGGCACAUCUCGAGAUUGACGAAGUCAUUAUAGAUACUCCAUGUCGAUGAGAAUGUCACUUAUCACCAAAAAAUAAAAGAUUUGUUUUUUUACUGGAACUGGAGGAGUUUGCACCUCUACAAGAAAAUAUAAAUAAAUAAUACAUAAAAGAUUUGUUAUGACCAUAUUGCACUACAUAUCCAUAGCACACUCUACAUUGUAUUCCAAAGUCAAAAGAGCGAUUGGCUUGCAAAAUUAAAACAUUCAUUAUUGUUUGUUUUGUAAUUAGAAUAAACAUAAACUAAUUAGAUAGAAAAGGAGCGGAAAAAAUUAUAUGGAUUAGAUUUCCUUUCUUUCCUAGGUUUGUAUUAUGCAACGCCUUGUUGUGACCAUAUUGCACUAUGUAUCGUCAUUUGAUAAACUAACACUACUGGAUUUGCCUUCUUUGCCGAGAGCCAGAAGCCCUCGGCAAAGGUCUAAAAGCCCUCGGCAAAGGCUUUGCCGAGAGCCUGCCACGUGGCUCUCGGCAAAGAGCUCUCGGCAAAGAAGCUCUCGGCAAAGAAUUCUUUGCCGAGAGCCACUUGGCAGACUCUCGGCAAAGACUUUGCCGAGGGCCAGAAACGUCCUCGGCAAAGCCCACGGCGCCGUCGAUGACCGCUAAUGUUGACGUCGUCUUUGCCGAGAGCCGUGCUGUCAGGCUCUCGGCAAAGACUUUUUGUUUUUUUUUAAAAAAAAAACCUUUGCCGAGAGCCUCUCUGGACAGCUCUCGACAAAGGUGGGAAUUUUUCUGUUUUUUAUUUUUUCCCUGAUUUUUACAUGCACAGCCACAUAUGUAUAUAUAUCACAAUCCACAUGUCUAUAUCACACUCCACAUAUAUAUCACAUGAAACAUAUCGAAGUCCAUAGAUAUCACAAAUCCACAUAGAUAUGACAAAUCUAACAUAAAGUCCAACAUAAACACAAGUUCAUAACAUAAACCACAAGGCCACAUGAAUAUCACUGCUCGAAGUCGCUAGCGCCUUACCCCUAGUGCUGUGACUCUGACCCAUCGUCGCCGUGGCCUCCGUCGUGUCCCGAGCCCCCAUCUGGCCACGCCGACCAGGGUGAGUGCCCCCCAAGGUGUGGAGAGCUCCCACGGCGCCCAAAUGGCCUGCCCUGGCGCCGACUGGUACGGGUACGAGUACCCAGGGCGCGGAGGAGGGCUGCCGGACAACCCAGGGUCGGGUUCGAACCCCACGACUGAUGCUGCAUAAUAUAAAACCAAUCUCAUUAGUAUCUGCAGGACGACCGCACAAGUCAAAGCAACAGACAAACAUAUAUAUACUCACCGGACUCCCUGUAGGGGCAGGAACAGGGGAUGGAACAGGAGGUGGACGAUUAAACAUAUAUAUACUCACCGGACUCCCUGAGGCUGAAGGUCCGUGUCGUCGGUGUCAUCGGUGUCGUCGUGCCUCAUGAAGGUCGAGGCGACCCCCUUUCGCCGUGGUCGCCUUCCGCCCGACAUUUUGUCCUGUGCCUGCAAUGACAAAGCUUAAACCAAUUAGUACAAUUAAACAAGAAGUACUUACAAAGAAAAACAACACUAUAAGUACAAAAUUUCGGCAAAACCUCCCCUGCACAGGGAGGUUUCCAAAACCUGCAAAAGAAAGCCGGCUCGAUGGCCAACAACACAUAUAUGACACGAAGGCCACACAUCCACAUUUCACAUAUAUGGCACACAUCCACAUUAUUUACUAGUACCAUCUGAUCUUGUUGAUGAUGGACCACAUGACACAUGAGUUGUGUAAUACUACAAGCUGUUUACUCACCGCUACUGUGCAUGCGACAUAGCCUGGUUUCUCCCUGUAAUCAACUCUGGAACACCAUAACAGAAGGGCUCCAAUGUACCAGGGAAUGGCACCAAGAAAGAAACCGAAUAUGAACCUUGAAGCGCAAGAGAUUUAUAGUUACAAGAAGAGUAAACCAAAGGAAUGACACAAAGCUAUAGCAGCAGCACUGCAACUGCUGUACCUUGAAUUCUGUCUAAGUAUAUCAAACUGAACGACAAUGCUGCCUGACACAAAUGAAUGAAACUAAUAUAUGAACAUAGAAACAAAAAUGGAGCAACGAUGAUGACUUACAGGAACCAGCCAAAACCAAUGCCACAACAGCCAAAACCAAUACUAGUUUCUAAAUUAGUAUUUCAGUUGAAAAAAAAACUACAAGUAAGAGCAGUGAUUUAAUUCCAAUGGUCAUGGCUUGUCAUCGUGAAGGAAAAGGCUGGAAAAGACUGCAGCUGCAGCUAGGAUACACCUAAUUUUGCUAACCAAUAUGAAGCGCCCCUGCUGACUCUACGAUGCUGCACUCAAAACAAAACUUUCUACUAGGCUAUAACUAAAUAAACUGCGUAGUGUGCUCCUUUGUUCUUCUACUGAUGAUAUCUGAGGAACAAAACAGAGUGACCGAAAAACACAGAUGCAGAUUUGGAGUCGGACCCAAGGAGAGGGAGGGAGGAGAAAUCAACGAGCGCAGAAUUGAAACUGGGAGUCAUCUCAAUUCUCACCUCGCAGCGUCCGUGCGGCGUCCGUGCGGGCAGCGGCCGGGGCUCCUGCGGCGUCCGUGCGGCCGCCGGCGUCCUGGGCUGCUGCGGCCGGCGGCGUCCUGCGUCCGUGCGGCCGCCGGCGUCCCGGGCUCCUGCGACGCGAUGUGCUGCGGCCGGCGGCGUCGAUGCGGCGUCCUGGGCUCCUGCGACGUCCUUCGGCCGGCGGCGUCCUGCGUACGUGCGGGAUGCGGCGAGGCGGCGGUGGCGCACGGAGCCGGGGAAGGGCGGGCUAGGGGCGGGGGCGGGGGCGGUGUGGGCCGGCGGCGCGCGGCAGAUUUGGUCGGCGGCGGUUGGGGCGCGGGGUGCAGCGGCGGCUGCGGGCGGGCGGCGGCGUGCAGGGUGGGCGCGUCUGUGCGUUAGGGUUGGGCGCGGGGUUGGGCCGUGUGGGGAUAAGGAGAUUUUCCUUUUUUUAAAAAAAAAUAUCCUUUGCCGAGAGGCACAGAGACAGACUCUCGGCAAAGAAAUAGUUUUAUUUUUUUAAAAAAACACCUUUGCCGAGAGCCAGAAGGGUAGGCUCUCGGCAAAGACACUUUGCCGAGAGCCAGAUGUGCAGGCUCUCGGCAAAGAGGUAUUUGACUUUUUUAAUUUUUUUUUAUUUUAGACUUGAGUUUUUUUUUAUGUCCUUGUGACCCAAUUUCUAAAUACAUUUCAAAAUUUGGCAUCAAUUUGACUUUUUUUGCUAUAUUUAACAAAUUAAUCUUGUUUCUUUAAAUUUUUUCACGUAAUUCAAAUUUGAACUGCAGGUAUAUGGAAUAUUGGAACUCAGUGAUUCAAAAAAUAAUAGUCAAGAUAUUUGAUGUAUGUUGAGGUUGUACCCACAACCACACAUGAAAUCUCAACCCUUUCGCUGACAUAACAUGUCGAGGAAUGUGAGGGAAAAGUGUUUUUUAAUUAUAUAAAUUCCAAAUGAAGUCCAAAAAUCACGAAACUUAGCGACGUGUCGUGUUAUCGCAUGUGGAGGCUGUGGUAAAAAAUUCAUAAGAUUUCGAGCAAGUUGUGAUGCCGAAUGUCUAAAACCCAGACAUCUCCACAUGUGAUCAAAUAUGAUCACAUGUGGAGAUGUUUGGAUUUUAGACAUCCGGAGUCGCAACUUGCUCGAAACUUUAUGAAUUUUUUACCACAACAUCCACAUACGAUAACAAGACAUGUCCCCAAGUUUUGUGAUUUUUGAAGUUCAUUUGAAAUUUAUAUAAUUAAAAAUCACAUCAACGACACAUGGAUGGUUAUGUUUCGUAUAAAAGACAUUCAAACUUUUGGGUGAGUUUAUGGAUAUAGCCUCAAAAUACACUCUCAAAUAUGAGUAUCAUUUUUUGAAUGGCUAUAUAUUAUUAUUUCAUACACCUAUAGUUCAAAUUUACUUUUUCAAAAAAUGCAAAGAAAAUAAAUUAAUUUAUGAAAUAUAGCAAAAUGUUAUAAAAAGCUCUCAAAUUUGAACAUGUGCUUGUAUAUAAUAUGCAAGAGCUAUAGAAAAAGUCUAGACCCAAAAUUCAAAAAAAAAACUUCACUCUUUGCCGAGGGCAAGUGCUAGCCCUCGGCAAAGGGGGUCUUUGCCGAGAGCCAGUCGUUGCCCUCGGCAAAGGCCACCUCUUUGCCGAGAGCUUAACGACGUGGCUCUCGGCAAAGGUGACGACUAUGGUAGGCGUUCACGGCGCGGUACCUUUGCCGAGAGCUUGCCUUUGCCGAGAGCUAGGCUCUCGGCAAAGCUGACCUUUGCCGAGAGCCUUUCUUUGCCGAGAGCCUGGCCGUCGGCAAAGGCUCUUUGCCGAGAGGAUGACCUGGCUCUCGGCAAAGGCAGUCUUUGCCGAGGGUCUGGCUCUCGGCAAAGCCAGGCCCUAGGCAAAGCUCGCGUUUCCUGUAGUGUAAGAAAUGCUUUUCUCCCUCUAAUUUAAGUAGAAAUACAAAUGGAAAAAUUGAAAGGGUAUUCGCGAAAAUAGAAAUCUCGUCUACUCAACUUGGAACGUCCUACCACUAAAAGGCUCUUUUCGUCGUCGAUGGAAAUAUCGCCUACUAAUAACACAAUACCAUUAAAUCCUGAAAUAACCUAGAAAAAUAUGAACAGCCGUGUCAAAUCGAGGAUUUAAAUGUGGGUGGACAGAAUCCAACAUAAGGAACACUUCACUGAGUGCCAUUUUUUCUACUAACCUAGUACCCUUUAUUAGUUCCUUUAUUUUAUUUCGAGACAAAAAAAAAGGGAACAAAUCUGAUCAAAGCAUCAGAAAAAGCGGAACUGAACUUUUCUCCCUCCUUAUUACGAUCGACACAUGACCCUUUUUUGUUUAUAUUAACAAGAAAAAGAAACUUUUGUUCAUCACAUGAUCUAAAUCUAAUUAUCCAAUCAGUUGGAGCUAAUAAAUAAACACAACCGGGCAGGAAGGAUCAGAUACACCGGAAAAAGGCGCCGUGGUUUGCCUUUGGCAGGUUCGCUUCCCUUUAACCAUCCAUGCAGGAUACCCUUCUGAAUUUCUGAUGGUGGAUCGCCCUUCGCCCCCAAAUAAAAUCCUAUCAACGGAGGGCACGACGACGCUACUGCGCUGGACCGCUGGUGGCCUCUGUUGCGCCAGGCUCACGCAUCGCAGUAAAAAAAAAAAAAAAACUGCCACCUUUCUGAUGAGAGACAGACAUGUGUGCAUCAAAUGUUGCACCCACCACCUGCGGAAAGCUGGGGCUUUGCUCACGGUUUCCGGUGCUAAUGAAGAUGAUGAGACCAUCAGAAACCGCAUUUUUUAUGGGUGGUGAUGGACCCUGGGAUAAGAAUAUCGCGACACGCCGCUGCACGCCCUGACACAUGGAUUUGACUGCCGUUUGACCGGCGGCUCCCGACCACCGCUCAUAGCCCUACAGUUAUGCCUUGAUGCAGCCUAGUAGAGCGACAGAGCAUGCAACGGGCCACCGAGAGUGUCGUCGUAUACCGACCAGGUUCCAAUGAUUCCAUCUACCCGUAGUAGACAAGAAGUUACGAGUAGUACACUGGCUGUGCGCGGUGUGCGCUUGUGCCACUGCCGAGUGCCGACGAGCUCGCGGUCGCAUCGGCGCAUCGCAUAGCAUGCCACAAGGCGCCAAACGCAGGUAGCUUGGCCUCUAAUCUUCCAGUUACAUAUACCACACAUUCAUGAGGGCACCCAUGGAAGCAUGCAUGCAAUUUCACGCUACUGAUUACCGGAAGAAGAGAGUAGGGAGACAGCCACAUCUGCGGAAAAAGGAGGGCGGCGCUGGUGAGUGAGAACAUGAGAUGAUGGCGGAGAAACGGGUCGACCGUCCAAUGAUCGUGGAGGACACAGCGGUCGCCCGGCUGGUCGAUCAGUCACACAUUCAUCAGGCACCCAUCCAUGGCCCGUGGCCCAUGCGUCGUGCCCACGCAUAUAGCCAACCAAUUAAGGAGCUAGCGAGAGGAGGGAUACAAGAGCCAAGGCGGCACACGCGAUCGAUGAAACGAUGGCUGGUGAUGCUGCACUGCAUUUAGCAUUAGGCCUUAUUUACUUCUACCUGGAAAUCUAAAAUUUUUCAAGAUUCCUCGUCACAUCGAAUCUUUAGACGUAUACAUAAAAUAUUAAAUAUAAACGAAAAUAAAAACUAAUUACACAGUUUGGUCGGAAUUGACGAGACGAAUCUUUUGAGCCUAGUUAGUCCAUAAUUAGACAAUUAUUAUCACAAACAAACAAAAAUGCUACGGUGUCUGAUUUAUUCGGAAACUAAACAAAGCCUUAGCAUUAGCAUUAGCAUUAGCCGCCUAGCUAGGAGUAGUCUUAUUGUAUGCGCCGGUCAUCCUGUUGCCCCCCUCGUGCCCCGGUGAUAGGGGACACGCGCCUUUUGGGUAAUGCUGCGUGCAGGCUGAGCCUCGCCCCAUCCCACUCGCGCGCCGGCCGGCACCCCCUGUCCUGAUCGACGUCCUCGUCUAGCGUACUGUACGUUUCUCGUCCAUCGAUACGCCAUGGGCGUCUGACCGAGCAGGCGAGCGUGCACUUGCCCUUUAAUUUGCCCUGGGCUCUGCCUAGCCCUGAGCUUAUUCGUUUUAGAUUAUUUACUAAAUUUAUCAAUUAUUCAACAAUAUUUUUUAUACUAACAAAUUAAUAAAUAACAUUUUCAACCAUUAUUUAUCAACCAAGCAAAAAGGCUGCAAGUGUGGCUUCCGUCCCGUUUGGGAUGGAAGGGAACUUGCACGUUGCACCGAGCGGCACGUUCCUGCAGUAUAGGCCUCUUCUUCCUGUUGCACACGACACACCUCAUACCUGGCUUGCUCGCGGCCUUCAAGACUGCACUGCACUGCACAAAGAGAGAUGGAAUUACUAGAACCAGUCGGUUGCCACACUUGCCAGGAGUAGUUUUGCAUGCAUGCUGCCAUUUCAUUUUAUCCCUUAUUGCUCUCCCCUAGAGGCAAUUGGAAUUUUCAACAGACUACAAUGACAAUUGGGCUCGACUUUUCUGCAACUAUAUGAUGAUGAGCCUCAGCCUCUGAAUUGGUGCGCCCGCUGGGAGUCACACAGCACGACGCAGACAGACACUCAGACACAGGGACACCAGCUAAGCUACCCUGACUGAAAGAAUAAUCAGCUAGCUAGCCUUCUUCUUGGAGAGUACAGUACUCUACGACUACUACAACUACAAUGUCAGUUUGGGACACCAGCCAAUGGAGCUCCGAUCGAGCUCCUUGCCAUUCCCAACAUCUGCACCUGCCGGGAAUGAUUCGGCCCCCUAGUGUGCUCGGCACUAUAAUAUUGAGAAAAUCAUAGGGCUCAGGAAUCUCCAACCAGGCCCCGGCCUUCCCUUUCUUUCUCCCUGUGAAACCUUUUCUCCCGUCCUUUUUGUCAUUAUACUUUCUCUAAGAUGAUGAUGAUUAAUUUGUUUUCCUUGUGGAUAUGGUGUACUGCCAGUUCGAAUGAGCUCGUUACAGUAUUGAUGUUAGGCCAUUACUGCUAUAGGUGAAGUAUUUCAAGGGCUCGUUUGGUUGCUUUGGAUUGAGUCUCUGUAAUGACUCCAGUUAGAAUUGGUUCACUAAUUUGUAUAGUUUUGAAAAGCUAAAAUAGUUCCCGGUUCAUAUCCUGAGUAACUGAAUGCAGCCUUAUUGACUUCUAAACUCUACCCUUCCGAACCAGAGAUGAGUAAAUAAUAACAAAAUAGCGAAGGAUAAGUCUCGUACGAGUCUAUUCGCUGGUCUAAAAAGUCAUAACUGAAAGUACUGUUCGCUGAUUUAUUAUAAGAGAAAAAUACUGUUAAUUGAUAGAAAAAGUACGAUUUAUAAAAGACAAGCGAACAAGCUCCACACUACAGUUUUAGUUACUGCACCAACUUAUGUUGGAUCUACAGUUCUACAGUUGACUUGUAUAUACUAGAGUUACAACGACUAUUUCGACGUAAUUUCUUAGCAGAAUUGGCACAACUUUAAAAGUUUAGAUGCGGCGAGGGAAUAUUUGACCCGAUUCCUGCAAAACCUUUAAUUUAGGUGUCAAACCUCUCUAAAUUCUAAAACAUCUGAAUCUUUUCUUAUAACAUGCUCACAAAAUUCAGAUGCAUGAGAUCUUUCCUUAUAACAUGCUCACAAAAUCCAGAUGUACUCCCUCCGUCCCUAAAUACUGCUAUUUCUAAGAGAAAUGUCCACAAAUACUGCUAUUUCUACUAGCAUACUCGUCCACCAGCCCAUUUAAUUUCUCCUCAGAACUUCCGUGGUCCACCAGCCCAUUUAAUUUCUUUCAGAGAGUAGUACUUUGGCGCAUGGUAAUUGUUUUGAGUCUGUUUAGUUAGCAUUAAAUGCAGCUUGUUAGAACCAGAGAACUAUGGCUUAACGUGCAUGAUUAAAUGGUGGAACCCAAAUUAAUUGAGGGUAGAAUGGUCUUUUGUUUGCCAUACUAAUCUGUCUGAAAUCUGCUAGAAAUAGCAGUAUUUGGGGACGGAGGAAGUAUAAGGGACUUUUGUUCGACCGGGCAUGAUAUAACAAAACUGUAAAAUUAUGUUGACUCCGAUAGUCGAGAACAAUUGUACCUUUUCUAAUUGGAAAUCAUGUGACAUUCCACCCCUAAAACUACGACUAACUUUGAAAAGGUGCCAACAUAAAAAUCUAGCUCACUUUUGAGCCACCAUGAAAUCGGAUAAGUUAAGAAAACGACGUCUCCAGUUUAAUUGAUCAAAGAAGUGAUGUCUAGUAGAAAUGCUAUGAAACGACUAAAUUACCCUUUAAACAUGAUUAUUUAUGAGAUGGUUCACACACAUGUUUGCGUGUUGAAAAAAUUAACAGCGCUAUACUUUAAGUGGUAGGCGACGUGCCCAUUAACAACAAGGCGCCUAUGAUGACUUCAUCAAUCUCAAAAUUUGCCGGUCCAACUCGGUUCUUCAGAGGUGCUCAUAGGAAGGAGUAGGGGGUGUGUGCGUGCGUUCAUAGGGAUGAGUGUACGCUCGUGUUUGUGAGUGUCUGCGUCUGUAACUGGGUCUCACAAAAAAAACUAGGUUAUUUUUUAAUUUAAUAUUCAUUUGUCACCCAAACCAAUUAUAGUGGUUAUUUACUCAUUCUGGUGCUUUGGACAGUAUUAUUUGUGAGAUGUACGUCAUGUCUCGCAUAAGAUAUCGUUGCACAUCCAUUAAGAUAUCUGUUGUCCCUUCUCUGUCUGGAACAACCUUUUUUAAUGGUAGGAACAAAAACCAUUUUACUCUAGGGAGAAAAUUCGUUGCAUCCGAGAAAAACAUGUUUAGUGAAAACAUGUAUAUUGCCCUGGUACUUGGCCAAAAUUCCGAAAACAAAUAAUUUCAAAAGUACAUGUUUAGUGAAAACAUGUAUAUUGCCAUGGUACUUGGCCAAAAUUCUGAAAACAAAUAAUUUCAAAAGUAUUUGGUCCACAUGAAUUUUUUUCUUGAACACACAAAAGAUUUUUGUAUCAAUUGUAUUAAGAAGAAGAGUUUGAACUUACAAACAACGCGUAUCUAUCGAGCGCCGAAGGAGGUCGACCUAGAUUCCUAGAACAGCCAUAGCUAAACCAUCCUAACAAGAAAAAUCAAGUUUCGAUAUUACAUAGAUGAAAAACAACCAAUACCGUCUCAGCAGUGCAACUCAGGAAGUGGUCUUGUGUCUUCGUAGCUUCCUGGAUGAACCGUUUCGACUGUCCACGAAGAGCGCAUCGAGUGCUUUGGCGUUGGAUGCAUUCAGUUUCCGUCAAAAAUCCCUUCAAAGGCCUCUAGAUCCGAUGCGGACAACGCUGAUGAAUCCUUGGUGUAGCCCAUACGAUGCAUAAUUAGGACCUCACCUCAUUUGGAGGCACAUACUCGAGAGAGACUUUGGGUUGCCAACCGCCUGCUCCGCCAUGAAGUAGUGCCUUCGCAAGCGGCUGCUUGGGUGGCUCACAAAUCAGCGAGGGGUCCCUCUUACUUUCUUGGUGAGGUUGUCGAGACGACGCUUGAAGGAGUCAUCGUUGUCCACAAUCUUGUGACCACCCACCACGGUGUAAUGUCAAGAUUAGUAUCCGACAUGAGGUCAACUGGACCGAAGUCUGGUAGGUAGCCCUCUUCGCCCACCGUGGGCGCAACAUUCAAGGUGGCGUUGAACACUAGCUACCUUGGCGUGACCUGUGUCACCAGGGGUGUGGUCGCUGGUGGUGGCGUCUGCUGCGCCCCUUAGGUGAUCACCACCGAGGCCUCGCCCCCAACUAGGUGAGCACGUGAGUUGGGUGCCUAGGAAGAGGGCAUGUGACGAACCGACUACUAGCGAGUGAGGCCGUGAGCUCCAUGAGCAUCGGGUCCUCCAUGAUGUUGUGAUCUAGUGAGGCACCUGAGUACGACAUCAGCAUUAGUGGCUUGAGCUUGACAAGGCCUGUCUCACUGGUUCACUCUCCAGUAGCGUCAAAGGUGUUGCCCAUAGCUGUGGGCACGUCCCCUGCCGACCAACCAUGGCGUCUUCGUCGCCUACGUCUGCAUCUGGGUCGAGCUCCAACAACAAUAGUAGUGGUGUCGCUCGACUCUUUCGAGCUGGCCGCUGUCGAUAGACUGUUGGUGCCUCCAUCAGUCGCUGUCGGUGGCUGUCACUGGCAGGAUCGACAGGUUGUUGUGGCCAACCACCCAUGCCCCCUACAAUGCCCAAGCAUCUUGAGUCCACGAACUAUGGCUGCUUGCAGUCAUGCGCAAUGUGUCGAAGACCCUUGUAGAGUAGACAACGAUGGGGUAGCCUCCAUGUUGCCACCCGAUGUGGAGGAGAGGCAAUAGAAGCACAUGUCGUGGAGAUCUACCAGUCAUGGCGAGGCUCAACUGAGGCGGCCACAGGUCCCCUCUCCUGUCAGGGGAGGAUCUUAUGCCACUUAUCGGCGUUGGGAGUGGAGACCCAUCCACAGCGACCAAGGUGUUGGCAAGCAAGCAUGCAACCAUUCUUCGGCUGAUGAGGCUGUCCACACACUAAUUGUGGGCGCAGCUAGCUGUGCUUCCUCCGUCUUCGCUAACGACUAGUGCCUACUCCAGCUUGCUUCUGUCUGUGGCUGGCCACUGAUCGCACCACAAUAGCUCAGACCCUCGGUUGGGUGAGGCUAAGGUUUCGUUGGACGCUGAAGAACAUCUAAGUACGUCGCUAUAGGUUGGCCGCCCUUGGAAUCCUCAACGCUAGUGUUGUCUACCCAACGAGGACAUGAGCAUUUUGAAAGACACUUUUAAAACUUCAUAAAUUUCAUAAAUUUCACACCUACUCCUCACUCAAAAGCUUUUAAUACUACAAUUGAGUUUGACCUGUUGAACCUCGAUUGGGGUGUCUGGAUUUAGAAAAGGAGUCACUCCAUACUUGCCGAAUUUGCGGCAAGGCUUGGGAGACAGGUUAGUUGGUCGAGGGCUACGGAGAUCAAAUUUAGAGCAUCUCUAAGAGUUUUGUAAAAUAGUUUCCUAAUUUUUAUAUUUAGUAAAAGAAAAAGAGUCUUCUCUAACAGUUUGAUGAAAUAGCUUAAAAAUAGAAAAUUGUAAUAUCCUCUUCAUCAACUCAUAAGUUUCCGCACUCACACUCCAUUUGGUGUUUUUCUCAGGAGAUUGGGGUAAAUUGGACAUAUAAGUAAACUAAGAAAAUAAUGUGUUUCAAGUGAGAAAACGAUAAGAGCCAAAGAAACUAUUUAAAAAGGUUUGGUUGAUUAGAAAUAGUUCAGGCUCCUAAUGCAAAAUCAUUUAGGAAGCUAAUAUUGGAAAUUAUUGGAGAAGAAAAUAAAUUGAGGUCGCUACUUAUUUUGUUAUCUCGCUAAACUUAUUCAUUCACUAGCAAGUUAAUUAUAUGAAGCACCUAGAAUUGCUCUUAUACACUGUGCAGGGUGCUAAUGGUUGGAGAGGUAGAUGAUCCACUGGGGAGUUGUGUUGACAGUGCAAAAUUAGUUUGUUGGUAUAGUAUAGAGUCGUAGAGCGUGGAGGGAUCGGACGAUGGUGUAGUACUCCCUCUAUACCCAUAAAAUAAGUUGAUUUGGACAAUAACACGGUUUCUAAAAUCUAACUAUGACUUCUUAUUUUUGUAAAAACAUUUAUCAAAAAGUGGUAUAAAUAUAUUUUUAUGAAAGUAUGUUUCAAGAUAAAUCUAUUCAUAUGGUUUUUAUAUUUUCAAACUCAACAACUUAAAAAUUAUUCAUGAUUUAUAUUCCCAAUAUUUGAUUCAAAUCUUGUCCAAAACAACUUGUUUUAUGGGUAUAGAUGGAGCAUGUAGUAUUAGGAGAGCCUUCGACGACAGGUGGAUGAGGAGUUAGCUACAAACUGUGCAGAGUAAAAAGGGACGUGUUGUAGCGAACUGUGUUGAAGUAAAGUGGAAGUCCCCUUUGUUGAACCUGUUUUCCUUCUUUUAUUAGUAAAGUCAGUACGUAGGGAUGCCCCCCCCCCCCCCCCCCCCCGAACUGCUACUAUAUAAUAUUGAUCAAACGAGAUCUCUUCCCUUCGUUAAAAAAAAAAGAGAUCUCUUCCAAGCUGUUAAAGUAUAUAAGUGAAUACUCAGUUACGUUUGACGUAUUCGAUUGAAUUAACCGGCUUAUACAACUUAAUAUGACAUCAAAAUAUUAAAAGGUAUGUUGGGUAGCGCGAUCAAAUUACUCCACGUGAAUUUGUCAGCUCCACUCAACUCAAAUCACCUAAGGUCUUGUUUGGAUGCAUGUAUAUCCACUUCAAUCUAUAUGUAUUGAAUGAAGAGUUUCAUUCUAAUUCACUCUAAUCUAUGUAGAUUGAGCAGAAUAUAUGCACAUCUAGUCCACUCUAAUCUAUGUAGAUUGAGCGGAAUACAUGCACAUCUAAACAAGACCAUAGGAUAACACCACCGUAGAACAACACCUCUUCUAGAAUCUGGAGUACUUAUAUUAUACUAACAGAAAUAGUGGUCACCAAAUAAGUCACGUGGUGCCAUUUUUGGGAUAUAUAGGGGAGAAGAGUGUAACGUCUGCGUUCAAAAUCUGAGUUCAAUGCACCACAUUAAAAUGCCAUCUACUACGUGCAAUGCAAAUAGAGGUAGGUGCUGCGAAAUGGAGACCCCACUGCAUGCGUGCACACUCCUCCUACUACUAUACAUUGCUAACCUGGCGAUCGAUCGAGAGUUCCAUCGUCCCAAACCUACCCUGGUGGACAGAAACGUGCGCGCCAACAUAAACCGCAUCAAGACGACACGAUGAGUUGGGGUGCGCACGGUGAAAAGCUAAAAGCGCUAGUCCAAAAAGCGGCGACGGCGACGCGAGAACGGAAGACAUGAAAAUGAACACGAGUCGCGGUGGAACUGGAACACGCGCGUCGAGGAGAGCACGCACGGAUUCUGCCUGCCUGCUGCGCGGUGCGCGCGCUGAUCCUUAUCCAAGUCCGCGCCGGAGUCAGUGCGCCGACGACGGAGCGGAAGCACGGCACGUACGACAGCGAGACAUCCGGCCUCAGCGUUCCAGCAGCGGAUCGGAGUCAAACGUCGCCGCCUUGGCCUUGCCCCACCCCCCCCCCCCCCCCCCCCCCCCCCGGCCCAGGCUAAAGUGGAGGGCUGGGCUCACCCAAUAACCAUGCGCGUGGAUCACACGAUCGAUGCCGUGCAGCGCUGGCUUGGCCCUGGUCCCGAUCGCCGCCGGCCACUGGCCACUGGCAGCGCGCGCGCGCGUUCUGCGUUCGUCUGUGGUCUCCACGCACGCGCAUUACUGCAUUUAGCAUACCUGCAUUUGCGAGAAUAGGAGUUGGUAGUAGCAUCUUUGUCAAACACUCUUAGUCUUAGGACCCUGACCAACCGUAGCAUUUUUUGCUUCUGAGCCUGUGUUUCGCGUGUCGCCCACUGAUAAAACGUGUUCGUCGGUAAAAGAAGGGAAUUCUGAACAUCCAUCCCUUUUGUGCACUCCACACUGCUACACUAGUACAGAGGCAUUUGGUCACUUGCUCAAAAUGAAUAAUAAUCUCGGCCCAAUCAGCGUCCAGAACAAAAACAUAUUUAGUCCCGGUUGGUAAGACCAACCAGGACUAAAAGUCCCCUGUCCAACAGCUAUGGUGUCAGACAUCGGCAGAGGGGACCUUUAGUCCCAGUUGGUCUCACGAACCGGGACAAAAGCCUAGCCUUUAGUUACAAAUCGGAUUAAAAGCUGUUGUCCCUAUCCGUCUCACCAGCCGGGACUAGUAUUGGAAUUUAGAUCCAGUUUUUAAAAGGAACUGGGACUAAAUGUCCUUCUCCAUAUUUAAACUCUUCUUCCCCUGGCCGAGCCCAUCGAUCUUCACUCUUUUGCUGUGUUCUUCAUUUGGAGUUGCUUGUUCUGGCUCUCAUCUCCGGCUAUUGAUUCAUUUCAUCAUUUCUACGCCGUCAUCGACUUGUUAAUAGGUCACUAGCUUAAUCUUCUCAACAUUUAGCAGCGGCAUAUGUCAUUUCCUAGUGUUAUGUAUAUUGUUUUUUAUUUUAUGGUUUUUUUAAGAGGUUAUUAGCUUCAUCGUCUUCUCAACAGCGACACGUUUUUUUAGAGAAAUAGUGAUAAUAUGUUUUUUAUUUUAUUUAGUUUAGAAAAAAAUUAAAAUCAUAUAAUACUUUAAUUUGCAAUUUUUGACCGAUUUAAUUAGUUAAUUAUAACUAGCAUGCAUACCACAUUUCAUGAUUAUUUAGGAAAAUAGAGAAUUUUUGUGCUUUUUUUAAUUUUGCUUGUUUAGAGAAAUUAGAAAUAGAGAAUUUUAGGUUUUUUGUUACUUUAAUUUCUCUAUUAAAAAUUAAAAACUUAUAAUACUUUAAUUUGCAAUUUAUGACAAGGUUAAUUAGUUAAUUAUAACUAGUAUGCAUACCAUAUUUCAUGAUUAGUUAGAAACAUAGAGAACUUUUGUGCUUUUUUAAUUUUGCUUGUUUAGAAAAAUUAGAAAUAGAGAAUUUUAGGUUUUUUGUUACUUUAAUUUCUCUAUUAAAAAUUAGAAACUUAUAUUUCUUUAAUUUGCACUUUAUGACAUGGUUAAUUAGUUAAUUAUAACUAGUAUGCAUGCCACAUUUCAUGAUUAGUUAGAAAAUAGAGAACUUUUAUGUCUUUUUAAUUUUGCUAGUUUAGAAAAACUAGAAAUAGAGAAUUUUAGGUUAUUUGUUACUUUAAUUUCUGUAUAAAAAUUAGAAACUUAUAAUACUUUACGUUGCAAUGCAGACAAUGACACGUCAUUGGAUGUACAAUGCCGAUCGCCGCUCCAAAGAAUUCAUUGAUUGUGUGCAUUAUUUCUUAAGAGUGGCCGAGAAAAACAAGCGGGAUGGAUUCAUAUGUUUCCCAUGUGCCUUGUGUCAGAAUUUGAAGGAAUAUUCUAUUCACUCACAUUUGUUGAAGUCGGGUUUUAUGCCAAACUAUAUUUGUUGGACCAAGCAUGGAGAAAACGGGAUAAUGAUGGAAGAAGGUGAAGAAGAACAGUUGGAGCCUGACGACAUUAUUGCUCAAUACGGUGACUUCGGUGAUACAACAAUGGGAGAAGCUGAAGACGAGGCAGGUGCAGAAGGCGCAUCUGUUGAAGAUGAUGCUCUUGGUGAUGUCAUUCGUGAUGCACAGAAAGAUUGCGAAAGUGAAAAAGAGAAGACAAAGUUUGACCACAUGUUAGAAGAUCACAAGAAAUUACUAUACCCAUCUGCCCAGGAUGGGCAAAAAAAACUGGGUACAACACUGGAGGUGUUAAAAUGGAAGGCACAGAAUGGUGUAUCCGAUAAGGCAUUUGGGCAAUUACUGAAGAUCCAAAAAAAAUAUUGUCGAAGCCUAAUGAACUGCCCACUACUACAUACGAAGCAAAACAGAUCGUCUGUCCUUUGGGAUUAGAAAUCAAGAAGAUACAUACAUGUCCUAACGACUGCAUCCUAUACCGUGGCAAGGACUACGAGAAUUUAGAUGAAUGCCCCGUAUGUAAAGCAUCACGGUAUAAGAUCAGACGAGAUGACCCUAGCAAUGUUGAGGGGGAAGAACGUCCCAGAAAAAAAUCCCUGCAAAGGUUAUGUGGUAUGCUCCUAUAAUACCACGUCUGAAAUGUCUUUUUAGAAAUAAGGACCAUGUAAAAUUGUUGCGGUGGCACAAAGAAGACCGUAAAGUAGAUAACAUGUUGAGACACCCUGCUGAUGGGUCCCAGUGGAGAGCAAUAGACAGGGAAUUUCCAGAGUUUGCAAAAGACGCAAGAAACUUAAGGUUCGCUUUAAGUACGGACGGUAUGAAUCCUUUUGGUGAGCAGAGCAGUAGUCAUAGCACUUGGCCUGUUACACUAUGUAUCUACAACCUUCCUCCAUAGUUAUGCAUGAAGCGAAAGUUCAUUAUGAUGUCGGUGCUCAUCCAAGGCCCGAAGCAACCAGGCAAUGACAUUGAUGUCUAUCUAAGGCCAUUAAUUGAAGAACUCCUUUUAUGGAGUGAAACAGGUGUUCGUGUGUGGGAUGAGUACAAACAGGAACACUUCGACCUGCGAGCACUGUUGUUUGUGACAAUCAAUGAUUGGCCUACUCUAAGUAAUCUUUCAGGGCAGACAAACAAGGAAUAUAAUGCAUGCACACACUGUUUUGAUGACCUUGAUAGUAUAUAUUUGAAAAAAUGCAGAAAGGUCAUGUACCUUGGGUAUCAUCGAUUUCUUUCUAUGAAUCACCCAGUUAGAAAGAAAGGAAAGCAUUUUAAAGGUAAGGUAGACCACCGAUGCAAGCCUCGCAAUAGAACUGGAGAAGAUGUAUUUGAGAUGGUUAAGGAUGUGAAAGUAGUUUUUGGUAAGGGACAAGGCAGCCAACCAGUUCCAAAAGAUGCAGCAGGUCAUGCACCCAUGUGGAAGAAGAAGUCAAUAUUUUGGGAGCUAACCUAUUGGCAAGUCCUAGAGGUCCGAAAUGCGAUCGACGUCAUGCACCUAACAAAAAAUCUUUGUAUGAACCUUCUAAGAUUCAUGGGUGUAUAUGGUAAGCCUAAGGAUUCACUUGAAGCACGACAAGACUUGCAACGCAUGGAAGAACGAGACAACCUGCAUCCAGAGAAGACAGAUGAUGGACGCCAAUAUUUAAGACCUGCUAGCUACACUCUUAGAAAUGAAGAGAAAGAAAUCAUAUUUGAAUGCUUAAGCAGCAUCAAGGUCCCAUCUAGAUUCUCCUCUAAUAUAAAAGGUAUAAUUAAUGUGCUUGAGAAGAAAUUUUUGAACUUAAAGUCGCAUGACUGCCAUGUGCUUAUGACGCAAUUGCUUCCAGUUGCAAUUACGUCUAGCCACCGUAAAGCUAUGUGCAUUCCUCAAUGCAAUUUCUAAGAAGGCAAUCAAUCCACUAGAACUAGCUGCUUUACAGAAUGAUGUGGUUCAAUGUCUUGUCAGCUUUGAGUUAGUGUUCCCUCCAUCCUUCUUUGAUAUCAUGACACACCUCCUAGUUCAUCUAGUCAAGGAGAUCAAUAUUCUGGGUCCUGUGUUCCUACAUAAUAUGUUUCCCUUCGAGAGGUUUAUAGGAGUUCUGAAGAAAUAUGUGCACCAACGUGUUCGGCCAGAAGGAAGCAUCGCAAAGGGCUAUGGGACAGAGGAGGUCAUUGAGUUCUAUGUUGAAUUCAUUCCUGAACUUGACCCAAUUAGUGUUCCUGAAUCGCGACACGAGGGGAGACUGAGUGGAAAGGGAACACUAGGAAAGAAAACAUACGUCGGUAUGGGGGACGAUUCUUUCAAUAAAGCACACUACACAGUUCUUCAAAACUCAUCCGUGGUGGAGCCGUAUGUCACGAAACACAAGGACUUCCUACGAUCCCAAUUCCCAGAGAAGAAUGAAGCUUGGUUUAUGCGUCAGCACAUAGACACUUUCAGUGAUUGGUUACGAAAAGAAUGUCAGGGUAAUGACCAGAUUGAUGAGCAACUGUAUUUGUUGGCUAGGCAACCAUCAUGGCACAUCCUCACGUACAAAGGGUACGAGAUAAAUGGAAAUACAUUUUACACCCUAGGCCAAGAUAAAAAAAGCACGAACGAAAAUAGUGGAGUUCGCGUAGACGCCAUAGACCCGAAUAGAAACAGACAAACAUAUUAUGGUCGUAUAGAGGAGAUUUGGGAACUAGACUACGGACCUAAUUUUAAAAUCCCUUUGUUCCGAUGCCAAUGGGUGAAGGUUACCGGAGGCGGGGUGACAGUUGACAAAGACUAUGGAAUGACAACAGUGGACCUCAACAAUGUUGGUUACAAAGAUGAACCAUUCGUCCUUGCUGCUGAUGUGAAUCAGGUGUUCUAUGUGAAAGACAUGUCUACAAAACAGAAGAGAGUGAAAAAUGACAACAAAUCAAUAAAUGAGCCAAAACGCCAUAUAGUUCUCUCAGAGAAAAGAAACAUUGUGGGAAUUGAGGACAAGUCAGAUAUUUCAGAAGAUUAUGAAAGGGAUGACCGAAUCACGCCUUUCAAUGUGACCAAAGAUCCGAGCAUACUGAUAAAUGCCGAGGACACUCCAUGGUUACAAGAUCAUGACCAAGGAACAUACGUCAAAAAGAAGAUCACUAUUGUGCUCGCCUAAUAAAUAGAUUGCAAUAGAGUAUGUGUAUGUCACAAUUGUAACUUAAGAUGUUUAUAUUAGUUUUUCUUAUUUUAUAUCAUUUCAAAUAAUGAAAUGACAUUUAAGUUUGCUAUUAUAAGAGAUGUGUCAAUUGUUUGUCAAAUGCAAAAAUAGUCAAACUUGGUCAAAUAACCCAUUUGAUGACUUGAAAUGAAAAAAAUUUGAAUACAAAGUUGGUAGAGAUCAUCAAGAUCUACAUUUGAUAUAUUGUCCAUUUUUCCAUUUGGAUAAAUUUGAGCCAAUCCUAAGCACAUUUGUUCAAAAUCCAAGACGGGUUUUGGUCACACUUGGUCAAAUGACAAACUAAAUUACUUAAAAUGAAAAAUUUUUGAAUACCAAGUUGUUAGAUAUCAUCAAGAUCUAAACUUUUUAUAUAGACAAUUUUUCCAUUUGAGAAAGUUUAAGUUCACAAUACCCACCAAUUCUUGAAUCUCACACAAACUAUAUGAAACUAUAUGUGUCAAUUGUGGAUUUUGAACUACACCUUCCCAACACUUUGUCAAAUGCAAAAAUGGUCUAUAUAUUAAAUGUAGAUUUUGAUGAGUGCAACAAUAUUGGUAUUCAUGACUUUUCCAUUCGAGAACAUCUAGGGUUCCGAAAACCGAUGCGUGGCUAUGAAUUUUUUCAAAAUUUAAAAUUGAGCGGUUCAAACUUUUCCAAAAGAAAAGUUGACCAUUAGACCAAAUGUAGAACUUGAUGAGUGCAACAAACUUUGUAUUCAUUACUUUUCCAUUUGGGACCAUAUAGGGUUCGGUCAAAGUGUGUGUUUCUAAAAAGCAAUGCUUUGACUUUGGUCAAACUUGGUCAAAUAACCCAUUUGAUGACUUGAAAUGAAAACAAUUUGAAUACAAAGUUGGUAGAGAUAAUCCGAUGUAAUGGAGAAUAUUGUUGUAAGCAUAAAUAAAUAAGAAAUAGAGAAAAAUCUUUAAAAAAUAAUCCGAUGUAAUGUUGAAUAUCACGUAUAUCAUGAUUUUGGAGAUAAAUGAUGAUAAAUAAACAAAAUUUAUGUUUAAAUAAUGCAUAAACAAAUUUUCUAUCAAAAACAUAUACUUUAAGAUAUUAAAAUUAAAUAAUACAUUUUUGCACUAACAAAAUACUAAUUAUUUUUUAUAUUUAAGUUUGCUAAUAUAAGUGAUGAAAAGAUUUUAUGUUUUCAAAUUUAUUAUGUAAGCAAUUAGGCAAAAAGAAAUGGAACUAUUAUUUUUUAACAAAUUAAUACCUAUUAUUCUAUUUACUAUGCAAUUAACAACAUUAAUCUAAUUAUUAUAAGCAUAAAUAAAUAUGAAACAACAAAAAUACAUUUAGUCCCGGUUCCUGGCUAGAACCGAGACUAAAAGUUGCCUUUAGUCCCGGUUCUAGCCAGGAACCGGGACUAAAAGGUGGACCUUUAGUCCCGAUGCGUAUCACCGACCGGGACCAAAACUCAAUCAAUAUCAAGAACAUGUCGUUAGCAUGGGGUUUGGUUAGGCUUGGUUGAGUUUGUAAGAAAAGAUAGUAGGUUGAAGGGCUUCAUUGAUCAGUAAACCUACGGUGCUGGUAAGGUCGGGACAGUGGUCCGCUUUGCUGGCCCCCGGGACUAAAGGUCUCCGCGUGUAUAUAAGCAAACAGUCGUCUUUCUCCUCGAUCUAGUUCGACUGAGCCCUAGUUUUCCUCCGCCGCGCGCCGCUCCCUGCCGUCGCAUCGCGCCCUUGUCCCCGGCCAAGCGCCGUCGUCGUCUCGAGCCCAGGAGCGCCGCCGCCGCCACCGCCGCCACCCCUCGUCCCCGGCCCGAGCCGAGGACCGUACGGAGCGUCGCGUCGAGCUCCGACGACCCGAGCCGAGGACCUUCUUCUUCUACGCGCGGCACCGACGACCCUCGUCCUCGGCCCGAGCCGAGGACGUACAGAGCGCCGCCACCGCCGAGCUCCUUGCACCGACCCUCGUCCUUGGCCCGAGCCAAGGACCCUCCUUGCGCCGUGCCGAGCUUCGAUCUUCUCCAGCCGGCACCGAGCAGUUAUUGUCGUUCCUGGCCAUGUUUACUUGCAAAAAAUUAUACAAAAUGUGAAAAGUAUGAUUAGUUAGUAGGGAUAGAUAUUGAGAUGAGAUGUAUAAUUUCUAUUUUAUAUUUUAUCUUUUGUAUUAUGUUAGCCCUUAGUUUAUGUUAGCCCUUAGUUGUAAUUAGUUUAUGUUAGCUCUUAGUUGUAAUUAGUUUAUGUUAGCCCUUAUUGUAGAAAUGGCCAAUCCGAAUGACAACAUGGAUGAUGCAAUGAUGGACCUAAUCAACAGCGGCGCCAAUCAAGAUUCCCAAGGCGAAGAUGAUGGGAGUCAGUACUUUGCUGAUUAUGAAGAACUUGUGGGCUAUGUUACACGGAUACUCCAAGAGGGAUGACGUAUCCGUAUCCGAUACUCGUCGGGUACGCGGAUACGGAUACUUGGAUACACCAUUUUAGUGGGUUUUGUUUUUAGAAAGUGUGUAUCCGCGUAUUCGAUACGUAUUGUAUCCGAUACUCGUACCCGUACUCGUGUAACGUAGCUUGUGGGAGACAAUCUUGAUGAGGACUAUCUACAAUCUAGUAUAUAUGUAUAUAUAUGAAAUUAAAAUAAAUGACAUUUAUACUAAUAUAUUUAUACUUGUUUGUGUAGCCCUCUAAAUCGGCGACAACUUCUAAGAAGAGUAGAAAAGUGCGCGGCCCGAAGAAGCCGUUGGAGGGUCGGUACAUUCUGUCGGAAUUUGAUGAGGGUACAGGACAAGUACUUGGGGCUAAUUCUAAAAAAUUUAUUACGCACUGUGGCUACCUUGUAAGGGACAGGCUCCCGGUCAGUGCUCGUGAAUGGAGGCAACGGAAAGAUAACCUUAAUAUUAGUUUUGUCUCAGAUCGUGAUAAGAAAUUAAUUUGGCUAGAUAUCCUUCAACAUUUCACGCUCGAUACACAGGAUGAAGCUUUGAAGGAGAAGGUUAAAAUCUGGGCUAUGCAGAAGAUGGCCAAACAAUUUCAGGCUUGGAAGAAGACAUUAUACAAGACUUUUGUUGCACAAGGCCGGACACCAGAUUUCACCAACAAGGCCUACGUCAAGUUGAGGCCUUUUUGGGAUGAGUUCGUAGAGUUUAAGAACUCAGAAGAGGGUCAGGCACGGAUGGUCAAGAAUCAGGAAAAUGCUAAACAAAAGCAAUACCACCAUCACUUGAGUUCAGGUGCUACAGGACUGCUAUUCCUAAGUGGCAAAAGCUGGAUUAGGAGAUUCUUGGAAGAGGGAUCGAACCAGAAUCAAUGCACUGGCCUGAGCGCGCCAAGUAUUGGUUCUUCGGUCACGGAGGAAUCAUAGACCUAGAGACCGGAAAGAUAGUGUACGGCGAAAAGCUCGAGAGAGUAGGACAGAGAAUGGCCUAUGCUAGAGGAUUAGUUGAAAGCGGCACCUGGCGGCCAAAUAGAGAAAAGGAUGAGCUGACAUACGCCCUGGAGACUGCUGAACACGGUGGGCGAACCAGAGGCUAUGGGGAGGUAUCGUGGGAGCAUGGCUUCCCUAAAGAUAGACCGAUUUAUAGAAGCCGCCAACGAAAGAAGAAAGAGGAAGCAGAGCGGUUGUAUAGGUUGGAGGCAAUGAUGAUGGAGUCACGCGAAGCGGCUCGUGAAGCGAUAGCGCGAGAGAAAGCGCUUGAAGAGAGAAUGAACGAGGAGAUCAAAAGACAAGUGCAGAUUGCAGUAAGUUCUAUACAAGGGAAAACUGCAUCAGAGCCUAGAGUCAACAUUAGCCCCCCGGUCAGUUGAAAAGUAGUUGCGCUUCCACGGAGAUGCCAACUAUUCAAGACGACGUGGGGCUGCACUUUCCGGUGGAUGACAUCACUGAACCUCUGACAACAUGUGAGCUGCACAUUCCACAGGGGACUGCCACAAUCAUGGUUGCUGUCGCUGUUGUAACUCCUGUCGACCCUAUGAGGACACCAAGAAUCCAUGGGGCGAUAGUUCCACCUGGAUAUGCUAGUGUCUCGGUGGAUAGAGUUGUCAAAGGCUUCAGUAAUGUGCAGCUUGAGAUAGAAGGAGGUGAUGGAGAGAAGACUCUAGGAGAAGCAAAGAAGACUUUUAUUUGUUGGCGCAAGCGCUACAUCAUUAUUCCUAGGGCAUCACCUAGUAGUCUACCACCACCUCCUCGUCAUGAACCUAAUCCUAGGUGCGGAUAAAAAUUGACUAUACAUUUGUUCACUAACUUUAUUUUACAUUCUCUUAGUUAGCAGUUUACUCAUAUAUCUUUUCGUUUCACAGGUGGUCACCAACAUGUCAUAGUACUGCGAGUGAUGACGAGGGAGUGCAAGACACGGCUGCAUCGCCUCGGUCUCCAACGCCACCACCUUAGGCUCCAACGCCACCACCUAGGGCUCCAACACCGCCACCUCGGGCUCCAACACCGCCACCUAGGGCUCCAACGCCACCUAAGGCUCCAAUGCCACCUCCUCGGGCUCCAACACCGCCACCGGCCACCCCAUCGCCUCCACAUGUGGCUCCAGCACGAAAGAAGAGGCCAGCCACACAAUCAAAUGUGUCAGCCGCCCCGCCGCCAAAAAAGAAAGCCUCCGAAAAGAAACAAGCUAUCAUUCCUAAGAAGCUGUCCUAUGAGAAGACUGAUGCAAAAAUAAAUGCUUCAGUAAAAUCAGACAUGGAUAGUUUCUUCAAGAAACUUAAGACUGAAAGAGAAGCCAAGCGAAACCCUGAGAAGCCAUAUCUCUUACUACGGCCAGAAGAUUUACGACAAAGGGUUGAGGCUCAACAAAAAAAGAGGCGUGAAGCUCAGAAAGAAUCAUCAUCUUUAUCGGACUAUGAUCGCACUUUAACGAAAUCCAUAGAAGAAGAGAAGAAGAAAGAGAAAAGAGCACGCAAGGGUAUAGCACAGCUCGGGGAACAAUCAAAGCAAUCAGUGCCUCCGCUAGUCAUUGGAAAUGAAUAUGGUUCAAACAUUGACGUGCUAGACCAGCAGAUACCGGCAGAAUUAAAAUUUGAUGAGCUUGAAUUUUUUUUGCGGAAACUAGUCUUAGCUUAGCCCAAAUGAUAGCUGGGGCACCAAUUGAAAGUGCUCCAUAAAUUGAUCAUUGGCAAAAGAAAUAUACAUAUGGCAAGAGUUUAUACAACCCUGCGGCCCUCAGCAAGCUUGGAACGCAAAUGUACAUGCUAAACAAAUGGUACAUGGCAGCGUGCGUCAGAAAAGCAGAUGACUAUCUUUGUGUCCGAAUUAGAAACUAUCAUUACUUCCGUGGUGAUGGUAUUAUUUAUGUUCAAUUUAAUGAGCUACACCAACUAUGUCACAUGGACGCUCUUGACAAAUCUCUAAUGAGUUGCUUCUGUCUGUAAGUGAUUCUUUCUUUCAAUAAUAUCACUGUAACUUAUCAUGUAUAUAUAUAACUAAUUACAGAAACCCGCUAUACAUAUGCAGAAACAUGAUGAGGGACCUCAGAGUUAGAAAUGACAAGGAGAUUGUAUUUGUGGAUCCAAAUGUUGUAUUCAAAGACCACAAGACCCCGUAUGUCUUAUGGAGAACUCAAACGGAGAGAAAUCUACGAAGGUUCUUGAUCAACUAAAAAGAUAAAAGAUAUAUACUCUUUUCCUACAACUUUAAGUAAGUGUCGUUAUCGUGUGUACAUUCUAUUUAACUAAUUAAUCAGAUCAAUAUGAAGAUAUAUACUAAUUUUGCCUACAUAUACACACAAAUACAACUUUCAUUGGAUACUAAUUGUCAUUGAUCUCUGGCAAUGUCAAUUGGUAAUCUAUGACUCGUUGAGAAAACCACGGGACGAUUACCAGAAAAUAAUAGAUAUUAUCCAAGGGUAACUCCGAUCUCUAUAUAUUAAAUUCUGCUCUUUUAACUUGGUAAUAGAUAAUUAAUAAUGAUCGUUUUAUUGCUAGGGUUUGGGCUGGGUUCAUAAAGAAACACCGUCCAGAGUUGAACGCAGCACUUUCAAAGCCCAUCUUACUUCAGUGGGUUCUACGGCAGACACCGGGCAACAAUUUGUGUGGCUACUAUGUGUGCGAGUUUAUGACGGUCUAUGCCAAAAGAACUAAUCUUGAGCACCUAAAAGUAUGUAACAUGUAUAUAUAAUAAGUUUAUUUCAUUUAUUUGUUGCUAUUUAAUAAAUUCUAUUCAUACCUCUAACUUUUUUCUUUAAUGUCUAUUAAAGGAGAUGUGGCUGAAGGAGCAGGUGUUGGAUGCUGUGCGCCUAAAAGGAAUUCAGGAGACAAUCGCAUGAUUUUUUAACGACCAAGUCCUGAAUCCCGACGGCUAGCGCUACUUCAACCCUCAGGAGCCGAUGAAACCAAAUAACGAUGAUCAUUUGUACGAUGCUUGAGUGGCGGAGAUAAAUUGUGUUGUAAAUACUUUGUCCGUGAAACAUAUGUGUAAAUAUUAUAUUAUGAACCUAUAGAUACAUAUUAUAUAUAUAGUGUUUUAUAGUAUAUUUAUAUGUAAUACUUUAAAUUAUAUAAAUUAUAGGUGCGCGUUUCAUAAAGUACCAGCAAACAAUACGCAUUCGAAAAUAAUAAUAACAUAAUUGUAAACCCUAAAUGAAAAACCAAAUGAAAAAAAGUCUUUAGUCCCGGUUGGUAGCAACAACCGAGACUAAAAGUGGAGGCCAGAUGACACACCCUGGCGCACCUUUUAGUCCCGGUUGCUGUUACCAACCGGAACUAAAGGUGGACCUUUUGAAACGAUCUAGAUUUUUUCACAAAGGAAAAAAUCCACAGAUUCGAAUUAUAAUAUAAUAAUUCAAAAAUUGAACCAUCGCAUUAUCAUAUAUCAGCUGUUAUCGUAGUCAUACAUCGUGAGAAACAAGAUUACAACACAUUUGCUUUACAACUCUUGGUCAACAAGCCUAUUACAUCGUUUUUCUAGCGGAAACACACGGGUCUUUAUCAGAGUCGAUAUAGCGCGUCAACGGUGAAGGCUCCUCCUUCACGGGCGAUCAUCAGAGUCGGCGUAGUUUAUCAGCGGGCGUAGCCUUCAUCUCCGAACCAAACUUGAGCGCAGGAACGAGACCACCUAAUUCUUCUAUUCUCCAUAGUUAUCGUCAUAGACCACGUUCAAAACCUGCUAAACAAUUUUUAGUACGAUUUGUACUGGCUACUGGCUCCCACCCUAUGCUUUUGCGUAGCUUUGUGGUAGGUGGAAAUGCAAAGGGUAUAUCAAAAGGCCUAUAUAUAUGGCUGUAGUUUCUCCUAUGCAAGUUCAUCAAUAUUUAAUAAUAAUAAUUCAUCAAGUUUUAUUCCAUCUCAUCCACACAUCCAUCCAUCCAUCCCAUCACACACAUCUCACCACACUCUCACUCUCUAGGCGGCAAGUACGACUCCCGCUCGUGCCUUGCCUCAACGGCCAACGUCAGAUCCAACACAAACCCAGGGGAAGGUAGAAGAGACUCCUCUCACUAGUCAAGCGAAGCGGAACAUAGGAAAGGUCCAUAGUGGAGAAAACGGCAUAUGUAUCGAUCGAUCAACCAAACUCUGCAGAGGUUUACACUAACCACAAGAUCACCAUCAUCGACGAACCGGCUCGUCUAGGCUGAUACCGGGCUGCCUUCCAACUAAAUACGAUGCCACCCUACCACUCAGGACUGGGGCCAUACCGGAGUACCACCGGCAUGCUGAGACUGUGAGGCGUAGUACCGGGCCCUCAAAGGUCACUACGCUGUCUUAGGAGGGUGUGGGUCCUCAUGCCCGUACCUCCCUACACUAUCCGCUAUCAACCUAGUAGUAGUGGCACCGCACUAGCUGGUCGUACAUCCGUCCCGCACCAUAAUAAGGCGAGUGGCGUGUAAAGCUUCCUACGAACUGGUUCUCAGAACAUCUCAGUCCUUAGGGUGACCGAACAGAACAUCUUCACGAGAGGCCAGCCGAUGCCCCUCUCGACGGGACACCCGGCUACCCCGUGCUAUACAGCACCUCCCAUCCCGGUGCUUCGUCCCACGAAGACACUCCACUCCGGGACCUCUCCCUGUCACAUGUACCCGCCACAGGUAUCUCUCGUGGAGAACGCCCAGGUAGCGUCCUCCGGCAAGACUUGUCCCCAGGACUCGUCGUAGAUCCUGCUCGGUCGACUCGACCCUCACCACACACCCAAGACACACGCCAAGAUCUCCCCAAGUCCAUUAUCCAUUUCUUAACCAGUUAUCGGCACCACGUGCCUUACCCACUCACAUCCAAUCCUCCACAAUGCAUCACAUCAUAGAUAUAAUGCGUAGUAGAAGCAGUAGCAAGUAGUAUGCAAGCAUCUAACCUAACAGCGGGUGUGCGAGGGUUAUAGGUUGCAACAAGGCAAUGGCUCACAAGCAUUUCUACCAUACAACCUAUCAUAGUUCAUUUGCAUAAAAGUAAAGCACUAGCAUCUACAAUAUUGCAUGUCUAAUAGGAUUCUACGAGGUUGGGUGGGACGUGGCACCUGUCGAGUGACAUUUCCAAGAUCCUCAGUUCACUUGUAGUUGUACUCAUCCAAGGUCUUUCUCCUAUCUGCAUGUCCUUCCUUCGACUGGUUCCGAUUCGAUCAUCGCUAAUCGAAGCAACUACCUCGUAAACGACAAUCAAGGCGAAACAAUCAAACUACUAGACCUCAAAAGACUGCGAAAAGAGACAAAGAACACUGAAGAACAACUACACUAAAAGAGUACCGAAAGGAUAAUGACUUAGCCCUCUCGGUGGAUGUCCGAUCCCUGGGCUAAAAGAAAUGAGAAUGGUUGUUUACUAAGUACAAGCUAGAGUCUUCGCCUAGCCGUUACUUCCCGGGUCGAUCGUGUCGACCUGUACGGCUUUAAUAACAAAGGCGUAGACCCUAACUUAUUCUAAGUAAACACCACGUCUUACGGUCUUCCGAUCCAAGUGUCUUAGAGAUCGACGGGAAUCGAAGAGACUACAAGCACGAGAAGUUCCGGUCUCUCUCAAUCCAUACGCCAUUGUAGCUGGCGAGAGCCAAGAGAGGGUGGAACAAAGAGAGAAGAAAAGGGGAGUGGUCUACUCCUUCCAAUCCACUCGCCAUGGUAAGAGGUGGGGAAUUAGAAAGAGUGACACACAAAGAACACGAGUGCUCGAGCUACUUGUAGGGUACCACGACCUAGGUACACUGAAUGCACUAAGACAUCACCAGGGUUCUUAGCGGUGCGGUUGUCACUGUGAGAACCAAAGAAAUGCUACGGUCGAAUAGGUACAAGCAUACAAGAGUUUAAGCACGAAGAACCAAAAAGGCGGGAAAAGACAUGGGAUUCACCUUCCUUUGAUCCGCUCGCCAUAGCAAUGGCGGGAAUCGCGAGAUUGGAAACAAAACACCAAACAAACAAAAAGGGCUCAACCCCCAUCUUACUGGAUCGACGGGGAUUGAGAACAAGAGAGAAGAAGAACGAAAUCACUCUUUCAUCCAACUCGCCAUGGAACAAAUGACAGUUGGAGAAAAAGAUAUAUGAGCCCACAAUCUACACCAACUCAUAACACUUCACGACCUAGGUGCUUCUGAAUCAGCACAAGGUCAUUCCUAUAGUUCCAGACGAUGCGGUUGUCAUCGCAGGAACUAGGGAAAUGCCCAGGUCUAGGUGGCAUAAGCAUACGAGACAGAUAAGAUAAACAUGCGAGAAAAAUAGAAUAGGCUCGAUGGCCAUGGCGAGGCGUCUCGCGACCAUGAGCUUCACCUAACGAGUUGGCUUCCGACUGUUCUACCAGGGUUGCUCCUAAUCUGUAUCCCACUAGACUAGAUCACAGAGAACUCGAAGGUGCGGGUAAGAACCGCGUCGAUAACAACAUCGAGUCCACGAUGACCACGUCUGAGGGACGGGAACAAGAGCUAACGACCGUAGCGCAACAAAGUCAACUAAACACAGGGAAUGAGUUAGGCUCGGCAUCGCGAUCACGGCGGGACGAACCCACGAUCGAAAUGAUCGAACGCUCUACCAUUUUCCCUAACCAGCUCGAAGGCUCGGUCCUCAGGCAUGCAAAUAACAAAAGAAGGAACAACGGAAAUACAAGAGAAGGGACAUGCUCGGCAUUACGGCCAUGGCGAGACGAACUCGCGAUCGCAACAUUCAAACACGUCACUCUCUCAACCGGCUCGACGGCACGGUCCACAACGACAAGAACAAAUACACAAAUUGCAACACUAACAAGACGACGACUCGGAGUAGCACAUUUCCAUAGCGACCAAAAGAGAUAGAGAUAGAUAAAUAAAUAGACCGGCACGAAGGCACGGCACAGGCAUAAAUAGAUAGAGAUAAAUCAUGUAUCGACAAGUGUAGAUAGAUGGAUAUAGACGAUAACUAACAAGUAUAUACAAAGGUACAAGAAUGAAGGGCAAGGGUUUUGCCGACGUCACGGAGGGCGUCAACUCAGUUCAAGGUUCGACCUUGGUGUGCCGAGGAUAGGCGUAGAUCAACUGCAAGCCUGCAGCUGGCCGGCUGUGGCUCACUGCGGCUGGCCGGAAUGUGCAGCAGGCAUCGGGAAGGCGUCACAUCUUCGGCAAAGGCACAACGAGGCCAAAGCUUCCCUGCAACCGCAGUAAAACACGGCACGAAGGCCGAUCUCAGCAAGGACAGUGGCAAUAUUAACGAUAAAGUGGAAAAGGGUAGAGCUUGGCCAUUGGUGGCUUAGCGUCGCAGCUGAGGUACUCGGGCGCCGUGGUUGCAGGCGACGUCGUGGCGGGAACGGUGGUCGCGGCUCCUGGUCGCGGACUGAGGCUGGGGCGGCAGCGCUCGACGGAGUGGUGGAGCAGGGCCGAGCCGGUGCUGACUGCGUCACGGGCUCGGCGAGGCCGUGGACGACGUCGCGGCGUCGGGGCAGACCGGCGUCGGGGUCGGGGUUGCGGUCACCCCGGCCGGCAUGGACGCAGUCUCCACGGCGCGGAGCUCCUACUCGGCGUCGCGGCGGGUUCCCGGGGCGAGGGCGAGGGCGCACGGCGUCUUGGGCGCGGCGAGGUCGAGGGUGCGGACGCGUCGGGGCUCGACGUCGCGCUCGGUGAGGCCGUAGAUGGGGAGGUGCUCGGCGUGGAAGCUCUGGUCGGUUGACGUCGUCGCUGCCUUGUCGAGGUGGCUCGUCGUGGCGCCGGAGGUGGAGCUCCGUCGGGGUCGGGGGCGAGGUGGUGCUUGGCGGCGUCAUGACGAGGAGGAGCUCGCGGUGCUGUCAGCGUCGGGGCUCUCCAUGGCCGGUAGGCCGUGCGUGGCGAGGCCUCGGUGCUGCUCAGCGGCGGCGCAGGCAGGAGAGGGUGGCGGCGGCGCCGGUCGGCUUUUAUAGCGCAGUGCCCUAGGGCUUCGUGGUGGGGCGGCCAUCUCCGACGUCCAUGCCGCGAGCAGGACACGCGGCGUUGAUCCGGGCACGCACGUCGAGGGGAGAGGGCAGGCGCGCGUCGCGGGCAUCGGGGCGCUGGGGUGCGGCGUCUCAGGCGGUGGCGGCUGCUCCUGGCUGGGGUUGGGAGUGCCCAGCUAGGGUUGGGGAGGCGCACAGGAGCUGGGCCGGCGGGGUUGCUUGGGCCGCGUCCGCGCUGGGCCGAGCGAGGCGGGGGAGGGGAGCGGGCCGCAGGCAGAGGGAGAGGAGUGGGCCGCGGGGAGAAAUGGAGGGAGAUUCGGCCCAAGAGAAAUGAAAAAGGAAAUCCUCCAUUUAUGAGCAAGGGAAUUUGAGGGAGAUUCAAAUAUAUAGAUAUGGAAUCGGACUCGAAGGAAUACGAUAGAGAUUUGAGAGGACUUUGCUACGGAUUUGUGCACUCCAAACCCUAAUUAAGACUCAACUCCAAAUCGACUCACGAACAAAGGCACUCGUCUACAAACAAUUCUAUAUGAAUGCGACAACUUGUUAGCGGGUUAGAAUCGAGUUAGACCUAAAAACUAUAUGUUUCACACGAUUACAUGAAAAAUUUUAAAAAUCUCGUAUUUUUGGUUUACGUAAAAGUCUGGGAUGUUACACCUUUAGGUUCCGGUUCUUGGAACCGGUACUAAAGGUGGAACAUUUAGUCCCGAAACCUUAGUCCCGGUUACGUAGCCGGGACUAAAGGCCCCUAAGGCCUAGGGCUAAAGCCCUUCCUGCUAGCAGGCAAGAAUAACGUACUUCCGACCCGUAGUAUCAUCAUACUAUGAGCGUUACCGAUCUUCUCGCGCGGCAGCGGCACUGAUCAGGUGCUGAAUCACGGCGAUCGACAGCAAGCAGUGGCCGGCUGGUUGGGCUGGCCACACUCGAGCGCGUGGCCGCGUGCAGGCCAGCCGGCAAGGGGCCGGGUGAGAGACAGAGCAGAUAAGGGGGCAGGCCGGAGCCGGGAACAGCCCGCCGCGACGUACGGGGGCCAGGCAGAGAGGCAGGUCGACCGACCCCGCCCCGCCCCGCCCGGCAGCCCGGCGACAGGAACGCCAGGCGUCCAGCGCUGCGUGCCUGCCUGCCGGUGCCGGCUCCAUCUGCUCGCUCUCCCCGCGGCAUCAUUUCGGACACGAACCCGGCCGCCGGUCACUCGAGCGGGCGAUCGAGUAGACGGACCGAGUAGCGAGUAGGCAGCCACGCACGCAAAGGGCCGUGUCUAGCUUAGCGCUUACUAGCUAGCCACUCAACUGAACCGGCGGUCCAACUCAGCACCCACCGCCAGCGGCCGGCGGCCGCGCCGGCGCCGGCCCAAGGCGAAUGGCGGGCGGGAGCUGGAGCGCUCGGCUAGCUGGACUCGAAAGUGACCUGUUUCCUUCAGUAGUGCCAAUGCAAGCUUGACAGGCAAUUAGGCAAACAAGUCUGGGAGUAGUGCUUUUCCUCACUCUUGAAUUUACCAUUUGCGUGCAAAGUACUACAGUCAGAAGUCAGAACAGUGCCCCCCGAGUCCCGAACUUUCUCGCGCCCAGGCCUAACCAGGGAUGGAUGGAUGCCCAGCUGUCUGUCAUGUGUCAUGCUGUCCACUGACUGUUUUGUUGGAGAGAGCCCCUCCAAACAGCUCAACUAAACUAAUGUCCAGUGCUUGUUUCCGUUGAUCCCAGCCACAGUGCUUGUUUCUGCUGAUCUCGGCCCUAGGCGUCCAUUGCCGAGGGUCCAUGCAUGCAUGUGCCAGGACAGCUGUGUCUGGCCAGAAACCAAACAUUCAGCGAUCGGGCACGGCACCAAAAUGAGCCAGCACGUCGUGUCUCCUUGCCCUGGGGCGUGCGCGCACGGCGGUCGGGACACCUUCAUGCCGGCGCGGCACCUGGCGCAUCAUUCUGCUCGACCCCUGCCAAGACGGACGCCGCCCAGAUUCAGAGGAGAGCAGCAGAGAACUUGUAGGAACCAACUCUGUGGAUGCCAUCGAUCUUCUGCUGCUCUGUCUCCGGAAAGCUUUGGCGUCGUAUGGAUCACGAAUUGUAUGAGUUAGCUGACGAAAAUUACCCUUCGCACAGGCUGUGAAACACAUUUUUGCCCCACAUUUUUGUUGUUUUACCGUGGCCAUGUCCAUGCCCCUCCACACGUCUCCAAAACCAACUUUGGGAGCCUGUCCUCUAGCACGACGUCCUCGAGCUUUUUGGGCAUCGCCUCGACGUUUUGGCGCCAUUCCAUGCCUAUCCUUAGCAUAUCUAUAGCCUCGCAAUCCUGCCGGUGACUACAGAUGUGGUUGGAAAUUUGACUGACGCUGAUGGGUAACAAAUCAACUCGUUGAAUUGGUUCUUUCACGCGAAAAAGACAAACUACGCAAAAGGCUAAAGAUUCAAACCAAAUGUUUACCGAGCUGUACGUUUUACUCGCAUGGAAUAUAGAUGAUUUGAAAACAGAAUGUACUGUCACUACUUGAAAACAGAAUGCUGGGCAGCUCAGCAGCUGUCUACUCUGCACUACAUCGCAAUACAUGUGCUAUUUCUAUUUCUCUCUGACCUGCAGUCACGAACUCGAUCAUCACGAACGCAACUAUACAUCAUAAACAACCAACAACCGAUCGAGUAUUCAACUUACAUGCACACAAUAGAUAGAUAGCGAGGGAAACACAAGAAUCUCGCUCAGUAAAAGACUGAAAACGACGAGAGCAAACGGAAGAGAAAGGAGGGCGAUUGUUCAGAGCUAGUCGACAACCACCGACCUGCUCAGCCCUGAAGUUUUGGCUUUCGGCCAUGCGCCAGAUGCUCAAGCAGAUCUCCGGACAUGAUGCUAGCUUGGUGAUGAGAUCUCUGGGACUUGGACGAUAUAGAUCUCGGUCGGGGCCACCCUGCCCAUAUGCCCCUCCGUGGGGAGGCCGGCCUAGGCGCCUAGCAGCCAUGUCCUUUGUCCUCGUCCACAUCCAACAAGUACGUGAUCUGCUUCAUGGAUUCCCCUAGAUCAACUUGGUUUUCAGCAAUGAUGCCCACACAGUCAUCACUGAAUCACACAACGAUUGUUGUUGCCUGACCAACGGGUUUGGCACCUGUCAAGUUUGAAAGCUGGAACACAUUUCGCGUCCUGCAGUGUGUUGGAGUGAUGACAUGUCAAUGCUGCGAACACCAAGGAGAUGGGUUGCAAUAGUUCAUAGAAUCGAUCGCACCUCUGGUCUGGUGAGCUUCUGGUGCCGGUGUAUUGUUUCCACAGCCUCACUGCAGACUGCACCCUCCUACCGUCCUACGUUGUGCUAUCUUUCUUGAUUGCAAGCUCCAGCCACCGACGUGAAAGUGGUGCCUGAUGCUGAUGACUCAGAUUAAAUUCUCAGCACCAUCUGCCAGCCUGUCUCAUUAGUGGUUUUAUGAAGAAGAGAACACAUCAGUUAAAGGACUCGUAAACUCUGCUCAUCGAAAGCAGACAUGCAUUCUGACUCUUGAAUAGAAGCAAAACAGAAAGAUAUGAAAUGGCAUAUGACACUUCAUUUCCCGUUCUUUAAUUGCUAUGACUAGUAAUCCUCCUUGAAUACUUGAUGGUGCAACAGGAUAUACAGAACAUCAUUCCUAUCAGUAAGAGAUUUAUAUCGACGAUCAUAGAUCUGACGUUAGUUAGAUAUUGCAAAAAUUAUGUAGUUAUCUAUACAUAAUAAUAAAAAGGUAAAACUUUUCACCCCCUCAUUUUUGGUCCGGCUAUCUUCUUUUUCUUUCCCGAGUCAUGAAUGCAUCCCUACAUCAACUCCGUCCCUUCGUAACGGAGUCCAUUCCGGAUGUCUAUUUAUGUACGUUUCAAUUUCUUUUUCUUUUAAGAACAGUUUUUUUUUUUCUAUUUACUGGCUGGUCCCUGGUCCCAUAUAAUUAAGGUAGAGAGCACACGUUCUCUCUUAUUUAUAUUUUGUUCUCUCUUUCCUGUAACGUUUCCUCUCUGAUCAGUUUCUCUUUUUUUUUACAAACUCGUAUUUAGAUAUCUCAUGAUUUUUUUCUUGUUUUUUAUGUUCAAGUAAUAAAUAUUAAAAUAGAAAUAGAAAGAUAGGAACAAGGGCCACCACAGCAAAGAGUUCACCUGACAUGCAAGCAAGCCACAUGCGUACCUGAAUCCGUGGGCUCUCGCAUGUGAAUUGAGCAGCCGCACAAAUUCAUUACCGUGUGGAAUAGUGCAUGGCUGCACAAAAAUCUACUCCGUCUCAAAAAAGAAUGACGUUUUUGACUUUUAGAAAUCGUGUUUGACCGUUCGUCUUAUUCAAAAAUUUUAUAUAAAUUAUAAAAUAAAUAAAUCAUUAGUAAAGUAUCUCUAAUAAUAAAAUAGGUCUUAACAAAAUAUAUAAUAUUUAUGUAAAAUUUUUGAAUAAGAUGGAUAAUCAAACAAGAUGUCUGAAAUUCUAAAACGACACUCUUUUUGGAUGAAAGGAGUACACGUACAUGGUACACAAGAACUUAUAGCCCACUUGUUUGUCUCACGUAAUAAUUUCUUGAUUCUUGUGCACAACCUGUUUCUCUUCUUUCUCCUCACCUCUCUUCUAUGUAUCAGCAUAUAACCCACUUAUAGCCCAUUAUUAUGACGGCUCUUAGGCCAGGCUCAAUCUAUAGUUUCAUGUCACAGUUAACAAAACUAUAAACUAGGUAACUGAGCCAUAUGAGUUUUAUGGGGAUGAAACUCUUUCGUUUAAUGACUAUGUCAAGUAAAUAAUUUUACUUAUUUGGCACCCUAUUUAAUGUGUAUAACACUCUCAUGCAUUGAGACUAGCCUUAUGGAAUGAAACGACGAAGAACAAAUUAAUUAGGGAUCUCAACAGUCAACAGCUCAUCACGUUUCUUCUUUUUGCCGGGGAUUGAACGGAGGAUCAACAAUUUUCUUUUCACACAUUGCACUGCAGCAACAAAGGGGUCAGCGAUCAAUCAAUGGAGCCCUAACAUGGCUCCCAACAAACUUUAUAGAAAGCCCACAAAACCCUUAAACAAACACAUCAUCAAAUGUACUCACUAGACACUUGUAUGUAAACCUACUGUCAAUGAACAUGAAAAUAGCACCUUCCGCGGUUUGUCACUAGAAGGUUUGGUCCUCAGCAAGAGCAUUGGGCACAUAAGGAAGAUAAGACAAAAUUGGAAGCAAUCACCAGCUGAUUAAAUGGUUGUGUACAACACUAUAACGAGAUGAGUUGCUACCUAUUACAAUUUAUAGAGAAAAAAGGGAACUAAAACAACUAAUCUGACACACAUGACACACAGGUGUUCGUACAAAAACACAAAUCGAUGCUAGAAUUCUAGCAACUGCUAAUUUUUAUCAGAUUGUCCGGGGGUUGCAGCCUGAGGAUACUUCAAAAUGGUCCAGCAAACACACAGUCAAACUGGUAUCCUGCAUAAGUAACACAAUUAGAAAUACCAAUUACAGUGUUCUAGUAGAAAAUGCAAAAAGAAAAAUAAACAUGCGCACUAAAAUCACACCUUCCCCUAUAAAGAGAUCAUAGAUAGUCUCUUCAGGUAAGAAUAAUCAGGCCUGUCUUCAAACCACGAUGAACGACAGUAGUGAAAGUAGGAGAUAAACUCUGAUGGAUACGAUUUGCAGAGUACCAAACCCAUAAUAAAGAAUUGAUGAAUGUCGAGAGCUAAUUUAUGAGCCACCUAGACAGGAGUAAGCAUCUAUUUCUCUCUGAUUUUGUCAUAUUUCUGCUUCUUGGUCCUGCUUUCAGCUCCUGCCAUGGUAGGCUGUUCAAAGACAAAAAGACCAAUGAAAUGUUACAUCCAUUCACAGAAGCAUGCAUGGAACCAUUACAUGUUUACAACAUAUGGGUGAAAAGAUCGAUAACAAACAAACCUGCCCCUAAGAAAGUACAUAAGACAUAACCGAGAGAUUCUAGAUCAUCUCUCCUGCUUUGCUCUGCAUCCAAGUAAACUCUGAGAAGGCAGCGGUGGCCGCCAUGGAGACGCUCGAAGGUGCCGCCAAGGACCACUGUAUGCCGGAGUUCCUGCCUGCUCCUCCUUGGACCGGAAGGGGUCAAGAACAGGCAGCUAGAUUUGUUCCCCAGUCCAUGCUUGAAGCAAACACUUGCGAGAGCUGUGAAACAUGCAGGGCAUCACGAGCAGCUGUGAGAUAGGAGGGAUCAAUGAUAGAGAAAACUGGGGCAGGAAUGGUACGUACCUGGGACGGUUGCUGGCGGUGGAGAGGCCAAGUAGCAAAGAAGCAAUGGCACCGGGAUCUUCAAGGUAACCACCAUCCUCAGGGGUCACCCAAACCCCUAAUGGUGCAGGAUCUUGGAGAGGAUGGAGGAGCAGUCCGCUUCACAGCGAUGCACAGUGCCACAGCCUCUGCUCGGGCUUAUGUGCUGGGUGCUGCGACGAAAGGCCUUUCCCUCCUAUCCAAGAUCCACACGGCUACAUGGGCCACGUCGAGAAUCCAAUCCUUCUAACAUAAAUUCUGAUAUAAUCCAGCCCCUUUCUUUGAAGAGCCCAUACAUGAUCCAAAAGAAACAACCCACGAGUUAGGAUUCAAGUUCAGCCCUUAGAACAUGACGGCCCAUUACAAGGCCACGGCACAUGAAAACAUAGGAAGAGUCAAGUAGGGCUAAAAGAUAAAUUCAGCCAAGGAAAGUAUAUCUUUGACCUAUCAAUAGAAACAAGUUAGUUUCCACACCAUCUCUGCAUCACCAUUGGACCGUAAAUACAAGUUCACGUUUGCCUAUCUUGCUUGGUAAAAGAUUAAGGAAUAAGCAAACUAGCAAAGUAAGAAUUCCUUUUUUUUCAAACAAAACAAGUCAUUUCAUGACACAUAUAACUAGGCAAAAUAUUUGCUUGUGUGCAGGUGUAGCUGGAUAGCUUAUAGCUGAUGCAUGCAUUUGCCUGCAUGAACAUGUGCUUUACCAUAGUCACAAAGUUUCUGGGUUGAUGGGGUCGAUGUACUGGGUCGUGAUACUCUACUUGCGAGAUAUUUUCACACUUAGGGUCGAAAAUGAACCCGUGAACCUGGGUCCUUUGUCGAAGGUGGUGAACCCAUUUUAUGUGACUAUGUGCUUUACAUGCAGGUCAAUAGUUUGGCAAGACAGCGAAAUCCAGUAAUAGUAAAGUCUGAAUUCAGAAAUCAUGAUAAGAAUCAGUAUCAUAAACAUGUAAUUGAAAGAUAAUGGAUAGUUCAUUGGCACUAAUUGCACAAGAACAUGUGGUAAAACCAAAUACAAACUAUGAUCUUAGAGCAACUCCAAGAGCUUGGCUAUUCUUGUUGUGGAGGCUAUUUUAAAAUUUACAUAGUAGAAAGUAGGCUCCAACAAAUGUGCUAUCUGGUUUUGUAAAAUAGAAAGUUGGCUAUCCCUUGUUUUUCGGUGGCCAUAUAUAGCCAACCACACUGGCUAUCUGAUUUUGUAAAAUAGCAAGACUUCUGUGGACUUCUUAUUUAAGAAGUUUUAUAUUUUACAAAAUGGCCAAAUAAUGAAAUUUGGCUACUAACUUUAGCUAAGCUCUUGGAGUUGCUCUUAGGAUCUUAGCAUUCUUAGUAAAAUAUACCGAUCGCAUCAUGUAAUGAUGUAAAUGGAUGUCAAAACUUUAGCUAACCUUGUGCUUUGGCACAGUCAUGCUGACCCAGCGAUUGACAGUGGGCAACAGCCCUAAAUGCCCAUCUAAACAUGGCAGAUAUUGCAACUGAACACCGCAAGCUGCAGAGCAACAAACACGGAUACAAAAUACAAAAGGGGUUAGUCAGCCUGUGUGAUGUGGCUUGUUAAGAACAGUGACCAGGCAGUUUCACUUACAUGCUCAAAGUACUAAAUACCAGUUUUAAUAGCAAGGGCUUGCAAUAUGGGUAAAUAGAAUAACUCAUUUUUCUUCUGUACAGCUGUACCCAAUACACGGUAUAGUUCAACAUCUGGAUAAACACCAACAGAUAGCAUGAUUGGUACGAGCAUCAAAGCUUCUUUGGUGAACUGUCUUUUGCAUAGUCGGUUGAUUGCUGCACUGAAGUCUUCAAUAGAUGCCUCAAACCCUGCAUCUAGAAGCUUGCCAAACCACAUAAUGGCCUUGUAAGGCAUCCCUUUUGCACAUUGAGCUUUGAUAAGUGUUAUGUAUGCAAAUUUUCUCAGCUUGGCACCCUGUUUUCUGAAGGACUCCAGUUGCAUUUCAGCAUGAAUAACUAGUCCCUUUGAGCACAACACGUUAACAAGCAAGUUAUAAGUAACAGGUGUGGGCAUCACUCCACGAAAUACCAUUAGUUCAUACACACCGAAAGCAUUUUUGGCGUCCUGCGUUUCACAAAAACCUUGUAUAAGCGUGUUGUAAGGUAUUGGAUCUGCAUCAAAACCUUCUAUACACAUAUCAUCAAGAACAUUCUUGGCAUCAUGGAACAUGAACUGCUUACAAAGUCCUUUAAUAACUACACUGUAAGUUACUGCAUUUGGUUUGAUACCUUUUCCAGUCAUUUCUUUAAAAAGACUUAGCAUGGAAUGAACUUUCCCAGCUUCAGAGAGUGCAUCCAUCAAGGUGGUGUAUGUAACUGUUGUUGGCAGCAGAUCACUUAACUGAAUAGCCGUAAAAUAGCUCUCUGCCAUAUGCAGAUCCCCAAAUUUGCAGUAACCAUAUAGAAGAGAAUUGCAUGUUACAAUGGUUGGGCACAUACCAGCCAUAAUAAUCGCAUCAUACAGCUGAACAGCAUUACCAAUAUCACCCACUUUUGCAUAACCAUCAAUAACUACAUUGUAGAGGACUACAUCGGAUGGCUGAUAUUUGCUAGCUAUAGUUUCCAAAUAUGACCUUGCUUCAUCAAGGAAUCCUUUCUUGCAAAGGCCUAGAAGAAUAGAUACAUGGUUUACUGAAGUUGGAGUUACCCUCUGAGAAGAGCACAUUAGAUUCCAGACUUGAAGUGCUCUUCCAAUUUCUCCUAGCUUGGAGUACCCAUGGAUUAGGAUGGAAUAUGCAAUAACAUCCAAUUCCAGACCAACACUGCAUAUCUCACCAAGUAGGUUUUCGACCUCAUAAAACAGGCCCUUCUUGAAGAGAGCAUUGAUAAGGACGCUAUAUGUGACAAUAUUCAGCUCCAUACCUUGGCCUAAGAUGUCCUUUCUUAUCUUCAUCCCUUCUUCAACAUCACCACCUUCACAGUGGCCAGCAAUAAGUAUAGUAUAAGUAACAAUAUCGGGUUCGACACCUAGGCCCCUCAUCAUCUCAAUCAUUUUUGGAAUUUCUCUUGUAUGACCAUGCAAGCGAAAGCCAUUAAUAAGGCUGUUGCAAGUGACAAUAUCAAGUUCCAUUCCUUCUUCUGUCACACUCUGAAAGAUAUUGAAUGCUUCACUUACAGAACCUAUUUUACAUAGACCAUGUAUAAUGGUUGAAUAUGUGUGCCUGCUCGGAUUUAAUCCAUACUUCAACAUCAGGCAGAAAACUGAUUUUGCAUCCUGAAUGAACCCCCAAUUACACAAUGCAGACAUGAGAGUGUUAAAGGUCAUUCCCAAUGGUAUGAAUUUCCCCUCUUUCCUAAUCUCUUGAAGGAAAGAUAAAGCUUCUCCAAUUUUAUCUUGCUUGCAGAGGCCAUCUAUGAGAAUGCUAUGGGAAUAAUCACUGGGGGGAAUACCACAUGACUCCAUCUCUUUAAAAAUCUCCAGUGCCACAUCUGCCUUUCUUAGACUGUACAACAAACUGUCAUAGGUGGUUAUUGAGAUUUGCAUGUUUAGGCUGCUCAUUUUACUAAGAACAUAAAGAGCAUCAUGAUUCAUCUGAGCUCUAGCAUAACUAUUUGCUAGAGCGUCCCACACAAUGCUGUUUGAAUCCCACUCCUUGAAUCCACUCCACAGAAUAUCACAUAGAGUCGGAGCAGAAUCAGAACCUACAGCAAAAGAUAUGGUAAAAUUGAAUGCAGAAAAGGUUACGUUUAAACGUUUUCUGUGGUUGCAUGCAUUGAGAUACAAAUCCUACCAUUUUCAAGAGAUGUGAAAGAAUAUCUAUGCAUACACUAAGUGACAACCUGCAAAAUUUCCAUGCUAGUGAUCCUGCUAUGAGUUUGCUUUCUGCAGACAAAACUACUACUCCUUUCAUUCCAAAUUAUAAGUCAUUUUGGCUUAUUUAGAUUUAGAUACAUAGCUUUUGCUAUGCACCUAGAUAUAUGCUAUGUCUAGAUACAUAGUUUGCCUCUUCACACUUCCACUAAAUAUACAACUAGCACUCUAGCAGCAUGGAAGUUGCAGCUCGGUAACAGAUGAUCACAAAUUUCAAACAAAUACGAUUACCAGCAUAGGAAUUUCAGUAUAUUAACAGAUUAUCCUAGAUUUAAUAAAAAUAUAAUUAACAGCACGGAAAAUGCAAGCCAGUCUCGGCAAAUACUGUUUCCUUCAGACAAAAUUAAGGGAAGAGCAUGGCAAUUGCAGCUACGAUUGAUGAAUAACUGUGCUUUCAUGUUCCCGGCAAGAGCAACAACUACUUGGAUAUACAAACACAAGCAGUCAAGCCCUCACACCGAGCUCACCUUGUUCGUCCACCAUCUGGGCCAACCCGUCGCGCAUCUCCCGCCACCUAGUCUGCCACAGAAGCUCAUGGCAGUGCCUGAACCGUGCGGCGAUAGAGGUCUUCCGCUCGAGCUCCGCCCUGUCCUCAUCGAGCGUCCCCUGCCGUGCCCAGCCACCCCCAGGCUGUCCACCUCCCGCCCCGCCUGCGCGGGGAGGGGCUAGCGGCGCGUCCCUACCCACAACCGCCUCCUCCUCGGACUCUGUUCCAGCCGCCGACAACGCCGCCGCGGGAGAGUAGGAGAGCGGUCUACGUGGAGGUCUGGGUGGGCGGGGACUAGUGCGGUGCUGGAGGUGAGGCAGGAGGAGGCGGAGGGGGAUGCGUGGUCGAAAGGGCAUCCGAAGUGAGGCAGGGUCUCAUGGCGGGGGAGAGCGACGGCAGCCUUGUGGAACGCCCUCCGUGCGCUUGUCGGCGGUGGCGGCGAGCAUGUGGAGGCGGCUUAGCGGCGGCGCUGCGGUCGGGGUUUUUGCUUGUGUGUGUGGUCGUGGGGAGAGGAAAAGUGUGAAAAUGACUACGGGCCAAAAGAUUUUUGGGCUUGGAGUUAGUGGGCUGAAUGACAUGCCGUCAGACGGCAUCGGGUUAGAGCAAGUUUAAUAAUACAACCCAUUUGCUGGCAGGUUUUUUGCAGCCUUCUCCCAGCCCACCCAUACAAUAGUUAGCUAUUCACUAUUAAUACAUGGCCCACUUAUCUCUCUCACAAGGUUUCUUGGUUCCUGUGCCUAAGCUGGCUGUAAGCUUACAGCCUGCUUCUCCUCUCUCUCCUCCCUUCUCUCCUCCACCUCAGCAUUUAGCCAGCUUACAGCCCACUAUAAUACUUGCUCUUAGUGGGCUGAAUGCUCAUCCAAAUACAACCUCCUUUAAGAUUUAUUUGGGUCUCAUUGAGAAAGAAAGGUCCAUCAUGCCUCGGCUAUGACUAAAGCCCCAUAUCGUCGCCGCCCUCGCUCACCGCCUCCAGGUCUGGUAGAUCGAUCAACCCGACCCAGACAUGAAAGACCAAACCCUAGCCGAUCUUGUGGAAGGAGGCAACGUUGUUGCACCGCCGGGCUCGGCGGCGGCCUCAAGCUCAGAAGGAUUCUCGGGGAGCGGGUCGUCGCCGGGUGCCAUGUCGGUAGAGAUGAAAACGGUACGAAUAUUUUCUGACCGUAUUCGAGACCGAAUUCAUUUAGAGGAGUUCAGAUCUAUCCGUAUUCGAGUCCGAAUAUUCAACAUCUGAUUCCGUAUCCGUAUUCGAAUACUUAAAUCGUAUAUUUAUGAUGUCGAAAUCCAAUCCUAUCUUAUCCGACAUGGUUGAUAUUAUCUGUAUUCGAAUCCGAAUUCGACCAGAAAUAUGAAAACAAAUAUGAUAUCAGUGAUAUCCGUCUGUAUCCAAUCCGUUUUUAUCCCUACAUGUCGGCGCGCGAUGGCAGGGAGGAAGAGGAAGCCCGGGCGAUGGAGGAGGAUCCCAUGCCAGCCCGUGAAAGUUACUUUGGUGCCGACAGGGCUAAGUAAGUUGUCAUUUGUGUGGACGUUUUGGUCCCCUGUGCCGGCCCCUCUGCCUCGAGGGUCAGACGACAAGCGGUAGCGGGAGAAGUUGCCGAGUCCAAGUUUCUGGAACUGGUAUUUGGCAUGGAAGGGUCCAAGGAGGUGCUGGAGGCGAUGGAUCGGGGCAAUCGGGAGAUUCUGGAACAUGCGAAGCAGCUAGAGGAGGCGGACGAGGAUCUGUGCGACACCGAGGAGGACAAGGUCGCCUUCCGUGCCUUCAAGGCCACUGUCGUCGUCUACCGCAAGCUUGUCACCACCAAGCCCGAGGACGUUGUCUUCAGGGACCGACCACCCAGCGAAGAGCACUCACAAUGCAAGACUCUAUCACAGAGUCUAAGAUAAUUAAUUAUAUAUUAUUUAUGAUAUUUUGCUGGUAUGACAGCAUAUUUAUUGAAGAAAGAGGUAGAACAAAUAAGACUCCAAGUCUUAUUUAGACUCUAAGUCUACAUUAUUCGAGGUAAUAAAUAACUUUAGACUCUAUAAUAAAGUUUGCAUUGUGAGUGCUCUAAGCACCACUACUGAUGACUUCUGCCAUGUCUUUUUGCAUGAAAAAAUUGAUAAGUAUUAGGGCAAUACUUCAAAAAAUUUCCAUAGCUGUUGCUUGAUCUGCAGUAGAAAUAUCUCCUUCGAGUUGAGUCUAGUGUGUUCUUUGAUCUCCUGAUGUGUGGAAGACCUGGGUGAUGUACUGAUAUCUGGGACCUAAAUACCUAAUAAUAACUGUAUUUGAUGAUAACAACAAAAUCAGAACCUUCACAUAUGUAUUGCAUAAGAAUGCAGUCUUGGAUUGUAGCAUGCCCAACCUUUGUAACAUUUAGAGUGCAUUUAGAUGCAACUAAAUUAACCUAAUAUGCCACUCGCAGGAGGAGCACUUAACUACAGAGGAGAUGGACGGGGCAUGCCAUUUUGCCAUGCUUGCCUUGGAGCACCAAGAAGAUGGUAUAUUUGCAAGCUUUCUUAACUUGUUUUUAUUUCAAACUGCUUCUGCAAUACAUCUUGUGCUUACCAAAUGUUACCAAAAUAACACAAAAUAAGUUUGUGAUGGCAAGGGUCUUGCUUUCCAAGUGCUUUUCCGAGGCAAAUGGCACGACAUUUGUCCAUGUGAACUUCACUACCACCCCCAGCAAAGCACCUCACACCCUGCUAAGCAUAUGUUUUCCCCUGAGCUAAUGCUUAUCCCAAAUCUCUAGGCAUAGGUACUGAGCCUAUGCGUGUGCUCCAUGUACUCCCUCCAUAUAGGAAAAGUAAGUUGUUUAGGACAUGAGUACGAUUACCAAGGGGUGAUUAAUGAGAGGUUAGUUUUCCUGUCUUGCCCUUAUUAAAUAGAGCUAAGGGUGGUACUUGUACCAUCAUAGACCGCUGGCAAAGGCUCCACGGCCCGAGGCUAGAGCUCCACGUUUUGAGUCCUAGAAGUCGGUGUAUUUUUUCGUAUUGGCCACAAGUUUUGCAUGGCGCUUUUGCGUGGUGAUUAAUGAAGGAGGAGUCCCGAGGGAGACGGGCGGCGUGCAUGAGAGGCGAGUCGAAGCGUUGUGCGGAUGCGUGGACGGACGGGCAUUAAUCGCUCGUGGCCCAGCAUGAGCAAUUGCGUCCAAAUUGCGUUUACAAAGAGUGGGAGUCUCGAGGGAGACAGACGUCGUGCGUAGGAGGUGAAGAAAUGUGGAUAUAUGCUUGAGGCAAAGAAAGAAAUUGCUUUGAGGUUUGACAAUGAUGAGACAAGAUACAAAUCUGUUUGGGAAAUAAUUGACAAAAGGUGGGACAGCAAGCUAAAGAGUCCACUACACUUGGCUGGAUACUAUUUGAACCCUUAUUAUUAGUACCCAAACAAGGCAGACAUUGAGAAUGAUAGCUCAUUUAGAGCUGAUGUAAUUGAUUGUGUUACGACGCUGACUGAUGAUGAAGAAAUUCAAGAUAAUAUCAUUGAAGACCUCAACAAAUAUACAGAACAACAAGGGUCAUUUGGACAUGACAUUGCCACAAGGCGGAGGAGAAAUAAAGACUUCAACCCAGGUGGAAAAUUGUAAAACUAAUGUGAUUGAAGAAUUAUCCAAUAUAAUCCUUUUUGCUAUCACAAGAGUUUAACUCUUUGCUUGUUCAUGCAGCAACAUGGUGGCUGAAUCAUGGCACAACUACACCUAAUUUGAGGUUGUUGGCGAUAAAGAUUCUAUGUUUGACAUGUAGCUUCUCUGGAUGUGAAAGGAAUUGGUCAGUAUUUGAACAGGUAAUAAAAAUAAUUCUACUUCCACAACUCACCUACAUGAAUAUAUUUUGCAUCAUUGUUCAUUCCUUUAAUUUUAUUUAUCUAAACAAAACUAGGUGCACACAAAAAGGCGCAACAUACUACUUCAUGAAAGGAUGAGAGACCUUGUAUUUGUCAAAUUUAACUCCAAACUAAGGCAUAAGAAAGAGAACAAGAGUAGAGAUCCUAUAGAGAAGGAUAUUAAUGAUGUGCUAGAGGAUGACAACAAUGAGUUUAUUACUAGAUUAGAACCAAGUGCAAAUCAAAGUCAAGAAGAUCAGGGAUGUGCAGAAACAUCAACAAAAGCACAAGAAGGAGCUUCACAAGGAGCAGCAACAUCUCAAGCAAAAGCGAAAAGGAAAAGACCUGUGCGCCAUACGAAAAAAUUUAGAACUGUGGCAUCUCUAAUGAAACCUCAGUCCGCAGCCUCUACUUCUGAAUCAGAGGAAAAUCAAGAUGCUAUGGUAUCUACUGAUACUAAAGAUGAUUAGGUGAGUACAACUAACUAUCAGAUGUUGAAAUGCAUGUGUGAUGUGUGUAUCAGACUAUGCCACUAUGGCAUAUGGAUCCAUGCCCUUAUGUUUGUUUGUCUACCUAUCACUAUGCAGUGUAAUGUCUGUCAACUUUGUAUGCACUUUGAACUCGUGUGUACGUGUCUAUGUGAUGUAUCAUGUAUGAACUAUGAAGUUAUGAUCUAAUGUGUUAGUAAGACUUUGAAUUAUCUAUCCCUACUUGGUAGUUGGUAUUUGUAAUGUCUUCAUCUUCUAUGUUUAUUAUGUGCAAAAUUACCUGAUAUUUGACAUAAUUUUUGCUCAACCGCUAAAUGGCUUAGCCCGCUAUUUAGCCCGCUAUAGCCUUUCUUAGCUUUUUGGAGAGGCAGCCGCUAAGAGGCUUAGCCCGCUAUUUAAAACCUUGCCCAUGAUUGAAGGCUAUGAUGUAGACAAAUAUGUAAAGAAAAUAAUGAUCAACGAAUAGAAAACUGUUAACAAUAAAUUGUAUAAGAGGUAUGCCAAUGCAAGCCACAAGCUUGAGCUAAGCAAGCUGCAACACAUGAUUACUACAUCAGAAAGACUUUAAAAGAGCCUUUAUCUUGUUCAUAAUUGAUGUCGUUCUAGCACCAACUAUACAGACCCAUGUCCAUUAGAGUUAUAUACAAGUUGUUCGAGAAGUAUUAGUCUUUCUGAAAUUCAGUUGGCACCAAUUCACUUUGAUCCAUUUAUUAGACUCAUUCCAUAAUUAUAAGACACAUAAACAAACCACCUUAUAGGGCAAUUUGACUCUGCUACAAAAAAUAUGUAAGAUAAAAAAUAAUCAUUGUUUAUAGAUGUUGGUUGUACCAUAUAGAACUGACAUGUAGUUGAGCCAAAUUGCCACAAAAAAUACGUAAGACCAAAAAUAAACAUUGUUUAUAGGUGUUGGUUAUACCAUAUAGAAUUGACAUGCAGUAGAGCCAUGUCCUGUAAUUAUGGAAUGAGUCUAAUAAAUGGGUCAAAGUGAAUUGGCCCCAAUUGAAUUUUAGAAUGACUGAUGCUUUUCGAACAACUUGUAUAUAACUCCAAUUGAUGGUCCUCCAAUGGACAUGGAUCUGUGUAGUUGGUGCUAGAAUGGCACCAGUUGUGAACAAGACAAAGGCUCUUUUGAAGUCAUCAUCCGGAGUUUUUGAUGUAGUAAUCAUGUGUUGCAGCUUUCUUAGCUCUAGCUUGUGGCUUCCAUCGGCAUACCUCUUAUACAUUCAUUGUCCAAAGUUUUUUAUUCACUAUUCAUUGCUUCCAUUGCAUAUUCGUCUACAUGAUAGCCUUCAAUCAGGAGUCCCAUAUAUUACUGACAUCCACAAGAUGAAUAAUAAUAUUUUGAUCAUAUAUAUUAAAACUUUCGUUGCUGACUUCGUAUGCAUCUGCAAGGUCUAGUAUCAUGUUUCUCGUGAGACUCAUCUCUGACAUAUGAAGCAGCCCCCCAAAUCUCAUAGUCUCAAUAGCAUCCUUGUGUGGUUGCUUAAAUUUUGUAUGGCUUUUCCAAAUCUCAUAGAUGAGUUUGUUAAAUGCAUAGAAAAUAUCGCUUCAACGUGCCCUGUUGGAUAAAACAUUAUAGAAAAGACAUUCUGACUUUAGCAAAAUAAUGGAGAAAGCACACAUUGCCCUACUGAAUCUGAUAAGCAUGUUCUCUAUACUCGCAACAUAGCACAUAAAGUCUUACGAAAGGCUCAUGAAGAUUAUGACAAUAUAAAGAACGGACGAUGAAAAUUGACUCAUAGUUUAAUCAGGCAAGGACACAAUUGGUUAAGUUGGAGAAUGAGCGCUCAAAGUUGAAGUCCCUGGUUGAGUCCUUGAUCCAACGACAUGAGGUCCAUGGUAGGAUGAUUGUUGAGGUAACUGUGGUACUCUAUUUUUGCAUUAUAUAGAUAGCUAUCUGAACACCUCGAAUGUUUGGAGUUUAAGGUACAAAAUGGGUUUAUAUGCCACAGACAUACUUCACGAUAGCAGUGGAACAACUACUAUCACCUAGUAUACAAAUUUUUUGUAUAAUUUUUGUGUAAGAACUUGUUGUGCUCACAUGAUCCUUCAAGCGCCCACUCUUUGCCAUAAGAGGCCCAUGACAUGUGUAUUAUAUGUUUGUGACCCCACUAGCAUGUUUAGGGCUCAAUUACAUUGCAUAUAUAGGGAUUACAAAAUAAUGUUUGGGGGCCCUUUGAAGCCUUUAAUGAUAGUUUUUUAUAAAAAUACAAACCCCACCAAAGAUCUAUUUAUAGCCUUUAGUGACGUUUCUAUAAAUGGCAUCACGUAUCUUGUGGGGUUUGGAUUAAAAAAGAGAAUUACAACAACAUUAGACCUCAAAAUGACACUUUACAAGAUAGUGGUGGGAUUUGGAACAUUAUCUUUCUUAAUAAUUAAAUAAUGAAGAAAAAUCCGGUGUCUUCCCACCAUGUUACUACGUUACUUGAAUAAAGUCGUCCUCAAACUUCCACGGUCGAGUACGUGGAUGAAGAAAGCAACAAGUCAGACCCUUCCCCAAACGUCCAAACCGCACACACACAAGGCCCGCGUUUCCGUACGACCCCCGACAAUCCGCGUGCGGGGCUGGAGUCUGAACCCCUAGGCCACAAAAGCCCACGAGGCCACGCCACCACCUUUCAGUUUCAGGUGUCCCCGAUCUCAAACGGCUUUGCUUCGGUGAAGAUCGAUCGAGCACUUGCUAGUUGUCAAGAUCGACCGGGAUCACUCUAUACAUUGAAUCCUGACGAGGAUGGUUUAUAUCUAACAUAUACUUUUCCCGUGUUGGACAGAUGCGUCUAGCGCGGCUCAGAUGCUUCGCGACAUGCAUGGACACACGGAAUGACGCAUGGAAAGCACCAAGGCCCAAAAACUCAACACGUCGCGCGCCCUUUCCCCCCUUUCGCCGCUUCGAUUCUUUUCCUACUCCUGCUAGCAGUAGUACUACACUAGUAUUUAACUUCACCGACGGCAGGUGCCCCGGCAAGCCAAACCAGAAGAAGUCCUGUCCUGGGCCGACCGCCCUUCCGCGCCAUUUAAGCGAUCAGCUCUGCACGCCACGGUCCCUCCCGAGAGCAAGAACGCCGCCGGUAGGAGCAGAGGCAGGAAGCAGCUCCUCGUUUUUGUACCUCAGGUCGGUCGCGUACACAGACGCAGCGUCGAGAUGCAGAUGGUGCUGGUGAUCUCGCUGCCGCUGGUGGCCCUCGUCGUCAUCGUCGCCAUCGUCCUCUGCAUCAUCUGCCGCUGAUCGCCGGGUAUCGCGUCUUCAGGCCGCAGCACCACACAAUCAUGCGCUGCAACGUCGCCGUCGCCUGCGCAUCAGCACCUGACUGUUUUGUGAUUGUCACGACAUAAACAGCGUGCGUGUGUCUCCACUUCGGUGUGUAUUAGUACGAUUUGGGUAUUGAUUGGUUUUUAUUUGGGUCCUUUCGUGUCCUUUUCCUUGUCUCUCUUUUCUUUUUAUCCUUUGACUCCAAAGGCAUCAUCAGAACCGUUUGUGUGUGCAUGCUGUGUCUGCACUAAUAGCUUGUCUUCGUACCUAAGCAACUAGAGGCUUCUCAAGCCCUUUUGAGUCUUGUAUCAGUUCACUGAAUCACUGAUGAGUGACGAAAUGGCCAAUGACCGGUUGGCUUGGCUUCACUCUCCACCGUGUACUGUGUGUGAAGCAACGCAGCAGCAUAGCACCGUCCAGCUAGAUUCAGGCGCCCAGCGCGGCGCCACCGGCCACCGGGGCACGUGGCACGCGUUUUCGCUUAGCCGAUUACAUAAUUUAACGGGCUCCCACCACCGCACCCGUUGGCAUCCAUCGCCCAUCGCCUUCUCCUCCGCUUUAUCGGCUCUCAGGCAUCUUGCCCAGCUCUUCUUCCUCCGUCGCAUCGCAGUCCCCAUACAUUCCUGCGCUCUGUCGCCUCCCUCCCCCACCUCGCUGCUCCGAUCCAGCAAGAGCAGCAAGUACAGCUCCAUCUUCGCGCGCAGGUACUGGUCCCUUCGACUCUGUCCUUCUUGCGCUUCAAUUAUUUUCCAGUCCGCUCGCCGUCGCAGCUUUUAUUACCUCGGCAGUUUCAGGGGCUCCGCCUUUGAUCCUGUAGGUUCAGGUUUCAGGGUUGUUCAUGAUCUGGCCCCCCCAUGGAAUCUUGAAUUCGUAGCCGUGGCUUCUCCCUCCCACCUGCUGUUGUUCUCGACAAAAUCACCCAUCGAUCUUGGUUGCCACCGUCCAUAUAUGCCUUGGCGACUCUAGCUUGUAGUCAAGUCCUGCGAGUGGGGAUACGCUUACGCCUACGACGUCCUUGUUAGAUCAACCAACGCUAGUACGUGUGCUCAUGAAUUUCACAUCGAUUUGAGUAGCUUUCAGCAGAAACGAAAACAGUUGUUUAGAGAGAGCUAGCUGCAGCAGCCAGCACGCAGCAUAUUUUAUAUCGGCUUAGGUUAAGAAAUGGAGUGGUUGAGGGAGCAAGAACUGUGCCUCACUAUUAUUCUGGACAAAGUUCCAGACGCAAGAGUCAUGUGUUGACUAAGGUGACUGAUCUAGGCGAGACUUUGGUGUCCAAGUUUGACUGCGUCCAACUACUAGAGAUUAGCGAAGCAGUAGUGAUCCAUAAGCUCUUAGCCUCUUACGAGGAGCAGAAAAAACCUACUGCACUUCUAGUGCGACUGGCUGAGGGAGAGAAAGAAGAUGAUACCUUCUACUCGCAUGUCAGCUAGCCAAGUCCUAGACUAGAGGGGGACCAGUAGUGAACCAACACCUCCUAACAGCCUUCUGUGAUGUGUUGUUCUGUUCUGAAAAUCCAAAGGCAGGUUUAUUUGACCCAAAGCGCCACACUGAUCAAGAAUCAAUUCGUACCGGCCGGCGGGCAAGGUGCGCCGUUUCCAUUGGGGAAUCGGAUCCAUUACCUUUCCAACAAUAAGGCACUGUUGUGCCUUUGUCAGUUGUCUAAGCAAAAAGCAGCAAAGAUCGAGGCGGUUGACAGGUUCCUCUAGAGGUCCAAUGCGCCUGAAUUCUCUGCGAGUCCGUGACUGUUUUUGCAACAGACACUCAAAUCAAAUGUAGUGGCUGAUGAUCAAGAAUACGGAUGCCAUUCUGAAUAUAUUAUACUCCUAACUCGUUGUGCUAAUAAUGGGCCAGCCCUGCAAGUUAUAGAAUCUGGCCAGUCUAACUACUAAAACCACCGUAUACAGGUGGUGGCAAUUUUUUUUUUUUUUUGCCAUUUGCUAGUCGUGAAAGUAUAAGGUUCCAUCUCAUUUUGCAGGGCCAGGGAGGUCAGAUGGAGUUCGUGCUCAUCAUUUCACUGCCGCUGCUCAUCCUGAUCAUCAUCGUCGCCGUCGUCCUCUGCAUCAUCUGCCGUUAGGCUGAACAUGCACAUAGAAAAAUAUUCAUCAGCCCCGUCUCUGCUGUGAUGAUCAUAUCAUCAUACCAUGUGCUAGUGCUAAAUUGACUUUGUACAACAUGACCUGAUAAAACCCUUUUUUUCUCUGCAUUACCAUGUGAUUAAUCGGCUGUAGCUCUAUACAUUGUUUCUUUUUUCUUCUCUCUCUUUUUUUUCCCCUAAAAAAAGAGGCUUCGAUUCGAUCCCGCGUGUCAGAUUGGUUGCCUUUCCGUUAUUCUGCAUCCUUCGAGACCCGAGAAAUGUGUUUUGAGGGGAU
rnacentral:lncRNA from 1 species